UUUAAAACCGUAACUCCGAUUUAAACAUGUUAUAUAGGAAAUUUGAUUAGAAAAAUAUGUAGAAUAUGAAUAUAAGAUUAUUUUAACCUGUUAAGUAUUUAUAAAUAUUAUUUUGUAAAAUAUUUAAUUCAAACAAAUGGUUUUCUAAAUUAUACGUAUCUUUUAAACCGUAACUCCGAUUUUAAUAUGUUAUAUAUGAAAUUUGAUUAGAAAAAUGUGUGAAAUAUGUAUAUGAUGUUAAUUUUACCUGUUAAAUAUUUUUUAAAUAUUGUUUUGGAAGAAAACUUAUAACUAUAGCGCACGAUAUAUUUUUCUUUCAUACAGGCGGCGAUCCGGAUUGCAAAUAAACACCCACUAUAAUCAUAUAGGGAAAAGAAACAUCAAGAACUACACAUGCAUACCUCUGAAUACGUCGCAGGGGAAAACAACAGAUUUCUCAUCGCGAGUGUGAGAGAAAGCGAGAGAGAGGGAGAGGGAGGAGAGAGGGAGAGAGAGACGUCUUAGGAUUAACCUAACACGUUUUGGUUUGUGUGAACACUAAGGCCACCGCCGGCGAGUGAGAAGAAGGAUAAGCGCAACACAAAUAUGAUGCAUCGCUAAAAUAAAGGAGAUGGGCCUAUUGUGGUCUUGAGUGAUGGUUGUUCGGUUAAGAGUGUGUGUUGUGUUUUUUCUCCCGUUGCAACGCACGGGCUCUUUUGCUAGUUAUUGUAAUAAUGCCACAAUCUCCUUUUUCCCACGUAGAUUAUUAUGGCUAUUUGGUGAUUGGGACAAAUUUAUUAUUGUAAUUAUGCCUGUUUGGUGAUUGAGACAAUUUUUGCUACUUUUACAAUUGAUUAUGCAUCGCUACUGAUUUUCUAUUUGAAGUGAUUAUGCCUUUGUGAAAUUUAUGCCUACAGAUUUCUGUUUAAAGGAAAAACAUGUGCUGACAUAGUAAAGAAAUGCCCAACCAGCAGCUGGACCGGUAGUAGGUAUAUUUUCCCACCCAAAUCAAGCCCAACAGGGCGACUCAGGCGGUCAAAUUGGCCCACUACUGGCCUAGCAGCAGGAACAAACGGGGCUGGAAGGAUAUGUAACAGAGGAGUUCGAUGUGUAUGCCACACCCGGAUAUUUAAGCCGGUCGAGGCGCCUGCCCGCUUCCGAGGUGGGACUAAACCUCACAUGUGCGGGCGUGCACGGGGCAUGCACUGCCUUGUUCGUGGGCCGGCGAAAAAUCGCCCUUGACCCGCGCGUGCAGCACCUGCUCACUGGUUUAGUCCCACCUCGGAAGAGGGGGGGGGUGGGGGGGCUCGACCAGCUUAAAUAGCCAGGCGCGCCGUACUUGUCGAACUCCUCCGUUACAUAUCCAUCCAGCCCCAUUGGACCCUGCUGGUGGGCCCGUAGUGGUCGAUUUGACCGCCCGAGUCGCACUGUUGCGCUUGAUUUGGGUGGAAAAUUAUACCUACUGGCGGUCCAGCUGCUGGUCAGGCAUUUUUUUCAUUUUUUUCCUUUAAACAGCACAUAUACAGUACAGUAAACAAACAAAAUAUGAGAAUACAGUAUGUUAAAACUGUGAACUCCUUCACACGAAACAUUACAGAAAACAUGGCAAUUAAUUCAGUACAUAGGAUAGAUGUUCACAUAUAUUUUGACAAUCAUAAUUCAGUACAUACGAUAGGUGUUCACACAAUUAUUUUGAGAAACAUAAACAAACAAAACGCUUAUUAAGUUUUCUGGCGCCGCACACAUGUUCACAUAAAUAAAUAACAACUUUCGACAUGACUCGUGCAACCAGUUUUCUUCUUCCCACGAUCGAAGUCACUUCUCUAUGCCCGGUUCCUAAACGAAAUAUAAAGAACCGUAUGAGAAAAUAUAGUCGGUAGAACCAAACAAACAACAUAACUUAAAUAAGAAUGUAAAACUUACUUCUCGUUUAGACUACAUGUCGCCUUGUUAUGACGUGGGAAAUGACAAAGACUGCACAACGGACCACUUUGCUUCUCUCUAAAAUCUUUUGGUCUACCAUUUUUCGUCAAAACUUUCUCAGGAUCACGUAUACCUACUGCACCUUCUUCCGCUUGAAUUGCUUGCUUCGCAAUUAGAGCACACCUUCUGCGUCCUAUGAGUUCCUCUUCUGGGAUCUUCUUCCUUGCUAUUAUAUCUUCUAGGCACUUCAUCAAUUCAUCAAACAAGAAGGGAUCAUUUGCUGCAACAUGUGCAGCUUUUGCAGAUUUUAUGCUCACUUGACUGUACCGUUCUCUCUCCUCUAGCCCAGACCAACCCCAACCAAAAAGAUCACUCUUGCGCUGCACUGGCAACCCAUCUCUCGCAUCUUUCGACAGUCGAUGGAGGACACAACACUUUGGUAUUUCAGACAAUUUAAGAUGAUGCAGAACAAAGAGAAUGUGUUUGCAAGGCAGCCCUUUCCGACCAUCCUGCGACACGUGCAUGAUACAGUUUCUUCUGAGUUACCUGGUUCAUACACAACAUUAUACCUGAACUUGUGGUUAUUCUGCCAUGUCACGAUAAAGGUCUGACGCUCAAUUCCCACUAGCGUCUCAAAAAUCUCCAGUUCUCCCAUUUUCUUCAAAUCAUUUUGAAGAAUGUAGAAAUUAGCAGGAGUGAAUAUGCAUGCUCCUCAAUGUCCUUAUAUUUAGUAACCGCCGGUGGUACUUUGUGAUUAGCCUCGCAGUCAUCAUGCGCCUCAUUCUCACGGAGGCGAACUAUGCAGUUCUCAUAAUGCACUACCAAAUCAACUAUGGUCAUACCAUAGUCGAGGUGAAGGUGAAGGGAGGAGUUGAGGCUUUCGCUCCUCUGGUUACUACGCAUACCAAGAAAAAAGCCACCCGAAAGAUAUGAUGCUGCCCAGAGUCUCCUCUUCCUAUACAUCCUGUUCAGCCACUCUUCAGUUUUAUCCCUCUUCCUUUUCUUCCUCUUCUUCUUCUUCUUCUUCUUUUUCUAGAUAGUCUUCUUCUUCUAACUUGCUUCUUUCCCAAUUUGCAGAUUUGCUUUAGAAGAGGAAGCUUGCGUUGAUGGAGUGUACCCUUCUCUUUAUGCUUCCUUCUUGUUUUGAUUUUGUACGAUGAACAAUGUCAAACUCGCUACCUAUAUAUGUAUGUAUGGACGAAACCAUUGUAUGCUUGUUGUUGGAUAUGUUGGCUAUGUAUAUGUGUUGGAUGAAACCAUUUGCUAUGUAUAUGUGUUGGAUGAUCAUAUCCAUAUGGCAAGGAUAUGAUUUGGUAUCUAUAUGUGUUGGUAUGCUUGUCGAAAGUAUUUUCAUAUGUGUGUGUGUCUAUAUAUAUAUGUGUGUGUGUGUGUGUGUGUGUGUGUGUGUGUGUGAAAUUCUGUCAAAUUGAAUGGUUUCAAGAAAAAACAUAAAAAACAGGGGCUAUAUAGACUCUUUGCCGUCAGCUGGCAGACGGCAAAGAGCUUUGCCAUCAGCUAGCGGACGGCAAAAAUGCCACACGUCAGCUACCUGUUCAACCUGGGGCAGUAAGCUGCCUAUUUGGAAGCUUUGCCGUCCGCGAGUAGACCGCAAAGAACGUCGAAUAUUUGCCGCCAGCCAGCUGACGGCAAAGCUACCAAAUAGGCCAAACCCCCAGGUGCUGCCACAUGGCACGCUUGGCCGUCCGCCGGCCGACGGCAAUGAUUCAGUGCUAUUUGUCGUCAGCUGGCUGACGGCAAAGAUACAAAGGUCUUUGUCGUCCGCCAGCCGACGGCAAUGAACGCCGUUAACCCCUUAACGGACCUAAGCUGGCAAGUGCGCCGUCCAGGCUCUUUGCCGUCAGCUGGCAGACGGCAAAGACCUUUGUAUCUUUGUCGUCCGCCAGCAGACGGCAAAGAAGCCUUUGCCGUAGCCUGUUCAGCCGGACGUGUUGCCGUCAGCUGGCUGACGGAAAAGGUCUUUGCCGUCUGCCAUGUGUGCCUUUGCCGUCCGCCAUGGCGAUGGCAAAGUUCCUGAUUCCUGUAGUGAGUUAAUCCUCUAAGCAUGAAAUUUUCCAUCAUAGAAUCAAUGAACAUUUUUUAAUGUCAACUUUCACUAGCUUCAAUAAACACUGAAAAAGAAAUCAAUUGGAAAGUUAUUAGGACCAGGAGCUCUAUUGCUUUCCAUUCAGAACAAUGCAUUCCUAGGCUCUUCCACGUAAAAGGUUUAGUGAAUAGUUCAUUAUCUUCUAUAGACAACUUUUCAUCAUUUGCAAGUUGUCCAAAUAAUUCUUUAUAGUAUUCAAUAGCAUGACCCAGGAGGUUUUAUGUCCCUUCAAUUGUAUUACCACCACACAUGCGCAAACACACACACACAGACACACACACACACACACAGAGAGAGAGAGAGAGAAAGAGAGAGAGAGAGAGAGAGAGAGAGAGAGAGAGAGAGAGAGAGAGAGAGAGAGUACUAUCUCUUGUUUGCAUUAGCAAUAUUAUGGAAAUAGGAAGUGUUUUGGUCACCUUACAACAAACAUCUAUCAUGAAAUUGUUGUAACCAACACAUUCCUCAUCAACCAAAAUCUCAUUUAUUUCCACACAAAUAGCAGUCCUCCUACUAAACAAUUCAGGAGACAUAGGUUAAUGAUAUCAAUGGGAUCCAAAACUUCCAUACUACCCAAAACUUCCAACUCCUCUUGAAGCUCUUUUCUCCUCUUUUUGGAGCGCCCAAACUUAUUGGAACUCCAAUAUGUUAAUGAUAUCAAUGCGAUCCUCGUAUCUUACACGCUUGUUCCAAAUUUUACUACCCAAAAGAAGAAACUCAUCAUUCUUAACCCAGCUCAAGUAAAAUAUAAAUUCAUUGAUUUUAGGUGAUGUCAUGACAUUGUUCCCAGAGUGUAAUAUUAGAGCAUUUUUAUCAGAUACACAUCUAACCACAUUUCUCCCAUUAACUAUAGGAAAUAAAUCCUCCCACUCACCAGACAUAAGGAUCUUGUCUACUUUCUCGAGAGUAGGAUGGGCUUGCUUAUUAUUCCAUGUAUAGAUGAUUCCACUAAUAUAGAACUCCCUUAGAGCAAGAGUAUGAAUAGUAGAAUUGAACAAAUCAGUAAAAUGAUAAUGAUGCAUUUUUGAAGUCUUUUCACCAUUAUGUCCAAUGAUAUUGAAGUCUCCACCAAUACUACAUAUAUCCAGAUACACUUAAUAAUGAGGGGAUCCAUGAUGAGAUCCGUCAGAAAUUGUACGUGGCAGCCUCACACAUGACCUGCACAUGUAUUUUAGAAUAUGUAACAUAUUACAUGGACAGUUACUAAGUAUUUUGUGCUUAAUAUCCUCCGUUAAGAAGUUGAAAUACAUUCGAAUCUGAGGGCUUAUCGUAAUAGUUACAACACCUGUAGAACAUAUAAUUUAGGCAUUAUUCAUACAUAUUGGCAUAUAAACCAUUCGCGCACAUGUCGCUAGUUCAGGUUUUAAUGCAUGGCCUUCUUCAGAGAAACCACGAUGCUGGGCAACUUGGCAUUCCGUUUCUCAAGAUGUUUUGCAACGACGCAGGCAUACACCGCAAACAGCUCAUCAAUAAUGCCCUCGCCGAAGUGGCCAGCAAUAAGUGGCUCUAACACGGAUCUGAUGGUCAUGGAGAGGUUUCUCCCACUUCUGGCAGUGUCAAGCACCAUGUGCUCAUCGUCGGAAUCAUCAUCUUGAGGGUCCCAGUUGACUUCGACCAUCCCCACAUGCUCAAUUUCGAAGAGCUCUGUGCGGUUGACCACUGCCUUCACCUCCUCCACUGAUGGGGCGUAGAGUGGCAGGUUGAAUGAGUCAAGUUUCCCUUUUUCUACGCGACCCUGCAAUGGACCAGUAACCACAGUAAGACUUGAUACAGAAUUUAUGUCAAAAAAAUAUAGAAUAUCAUAGCCAUUGUUCCCAGACCAUGCGUUUCAGCACAAGCUAAAUGCAUUUUUACAUUACAUAUGGUUAUUUAUGAAAAGCAAAAUACGAAAAAGCUUUAGUAUCAAUUCUACGAGAGAUCGAGAUUCACAAGAACAAAACCACUACUAUGUAUUUUAGGGUGAAUAGGAACGAUCUAUGCUCAGAAGAUUUAGUGUCUAAUCGUAACCAAAUAUUAAACUUGAAAAUAACACAGGCAUGCCAACUAUACCUUGUGGACAAGUGACUGGAGAGAUUCAGAAAGCAAAUCCCACAUGGUGCCAAUUUCACCAUGUGUUAGCAUUUCUUCGCUCUUUCGUCCCAGAAGCAUCAAAAACAUUUGCCCACCACUUAUCAAUUCUUUUGAGCGCAGUGUAAGGAACAACUCAAAGUCAAUUUGAAAUUGUUCUCUGAAUAGAUUUACUAUUGAAUGUGGAGUAGUCUUUCCAAUAUGGAUGUUUCCUUCGUUUACAUACUCGCCACUUGAGAGUUCCUCGGGCACCUAAGACAUUUAGUACAAUCAAACGAGACAUUAUUUAGUGAAUCUGAUAUCAAAAUGGGAUAAACUGUGCAUGAUUAUAAGCACCAGAUUUUAGAGUGGGACUAGUCAAUCUACAGAAAAAUAUCGUAGAGAAUGUAUACUGUUACAUGUAAAAAAUGAGGGACAUACAUCACCAUUCGUAAAACUAAUAAUAAUUUGCAGUAGUAUGAAUACUAUUUACUAAUUUGAUACAGUAUAUAUGACUAUAUUAUCAUAAUGUUUAGCGUGUACAUAAUCAUGUUCUAAGACCAUCUCCAAUGGGGAGGGAAAAGCUUGGUUUGAUACAUUAGAGCAUGGUGAAUUAACCAAGUUGUUGUUCGAAAGGAUUAGUGUGUCGGUGGCAAUGAUAGUUGGUCUAUAUGUAAGAGAUGAGAGAGGGAAAGAGGAACAAGCAUAAAUAAGCAAUCAUGCAUGGCGCAUGUAACAGGCUCCAAUGGAUGGUGUAACAUGUUGCACUCAUCUGAAUGUUUUCCGUUCUUCCAGAUGGAGACAUCUAGAAAGCGUUGUUGAAUCCAAAUAACCGAUGGGUAUGUAAAAUUCUUUACCAACUUAUUUGGUUUGAAGAACAACAUAGGAAUUGGACAAAUACAAGAAUAAGAUAGAAUUGCAGGUACAGACCUAAGAGUUGGAAAAUAAAUCAAUAUUGUAAAUUUGCUUGUUUGUUCACAGGAAUAGGGAAAACACAACAAUCCUACUAAACACGGUCUCAUCAGAGUCAAACCACACACUAAAGUAUAAUUAGGAUGGUAUUAUGCGCCUUUGGUCUAUGUUUCAAAGGAAAAACAUGGGAAUUUUAAAAUCAAUGUCGACUACUUUUUCAAAUUCCUACGCACAAAGAACGGGACUAAGAUCCUUAGAGCAUAUAGCGUUAUAAUUAUACUAUUUGAUUUGGUUUGACUUUGGUUUAGACAAGUUUGUAAGGAUACAUGUGUUUCUCCUAUUUCCGUGAACCAAAUGUGUCUUGCAAAAUGUAUGUGUUUUCCAAUCAUCCAUUUUGCACAUCCAUUCUUAUCUUAUUCCUGUGUUUUCCUAUUACACUUUUGGAGUCCUGCCAAGCAAGAGAUCAUAAAAAAGAGGUCCAUGUGGAUUGUAAAAUUUUGGCAUUUUUUUCUUUGAAAAUGGGAUAAGAGUAGAAUUUCCUCCACUUCUCCUUUGGUCCAUUCCUUCUAACCAAGCGAAUGAAUAGUACUCAUAAAGAAAGUUUUCUGUUUCUAUACUUUUCCUCUACUUUCUCUAUGAACCAAAGAAGCCAUACAAGUUUCACUUACUAUAAGAUGGACUCCAAAUGUAGAACCCAAUUAAACCGCAUUACCACAGUAGUUAUUCCUUACUUGGCAAGUCAAUUAAUUUCAUGCAACUUACUCCUUCCAGUAUAACAUGGUCAUUUCGUACAUAGUUUUUGGAAGUUUAAAAGUAUGGCCCUGUUAACUAAGCUAGGUCCCUUCUUUUUAUGGUAUUAUGGAUAACCUUUGCUAUGCUUUCUCGUAGAGAGAAAACUGGAAUGAUAAACACUGGAUGAUGCUUGAAUAUAAGUGUAUGAUCAAGUGUGGAUGAGUACUGUGUUGUUGCAAUCUGAUAUUUAUUUUAGGCUGGAACAUAAUUUAGUACGACAAGUGUGCAAUCAUGCGUGUACCUUGGAGAGCCAAUGGAGGCUGUAGGACGAGUGGAAAAGAUGGACGCUCUGGCUAGGACAAAGCCUGUUGUAGAACGAUCCCGGUAGCCCGACGACGUAGUACGGUGGCGUCGCCGCCUCAUCGCCCUCCCCUUUCCUAGUGACAGUGUGGAACUGAUCAAGCGACUGGAAGAUGAGGUUGAAAUCGUUCUUGGGCAAGUCAUUCAGGAGAAACUGCAGCUCCACACCGUGUUGUUCUUCGUUUGUGUUCUGGUUGUAGUCAGAGAUCAUGCCGGUAACCUCGGCGACGAUGAAUAGCGCGUUUGGGCCCGAUGAGCAGCCGAGGUCAGCGACGACCAUGGUGCUCGCAGAGGAGAGCGAGGUGUAUACCUCUUCCACGGUCCUUUGAAGCAAUGGCCUGUUCUUCAGCAUGGCCUUCAUCUGCGAAAAGCAUGUAUAAAGAGGUGCUACGCAUAGCUUGAUUACAUGAAAGAAAGAAAGAAAGAAACGAGUGCAGGAUGCUAGUUUGGAUACAAACUGGGAUCCUGGAGUUGGCGGCGUAGCUAUUCUCUCCGUCGCCGGUAGCCAUGUGGAGGACGUCCUCUACCUUCAUGCUCGUUGAUCCCCGGUGGUGUUUCUCUGUAAUCCAGAACGUUCGAGCUCUUCUUUGUAUAGAGAGGCAAGCCAGUUACGCUGUUUCGUACUGGUUAAUUAUGAGCAAUUAAAUAAUUCUGGAUCUGUUCAGAGGGCAACUGGUAUGCAAUCACGCGUGAAUCGUCGCACGUGCCUGUUUGACGAAAGCCUGGGCUUGCGUGCUUGCCUUCGUUGUGAUGCAUAAUUUUCGGACGUGUGACCGAAUCGGUGAGAAUCAUGAGGCAUGUUCGGACGAGCUGGAAAUCUGGAAUGCAUCUCCGAUCGUGUAGUUAAUUAGAAUCAUGAGCUGGAACGCAUGUUCGGCUCACCAAGACCAUGCAUGUUCUCAUACUUCCUCCCUUCCGGUGGUUACAGGGCUUUAUCUAAAAAAAAUUCGGUUUUAUAAGUCUCAAUUUUAUUGCUGCCCAUCAUAUGUUCAAAUUUUGAGGUGCACUAAAUAGUUGCAUACAAAAUUAAAAAGAAAACCUAUGAAUGUAAAUGUUUUUGAUUAUUUAUUGCUCACGCAUGCAUGCAUUGCAAUUAAUGUGCUAAUAAACACCAUUUUUGAGAAAAAACAAACGCAUUAAUUGAGUACUUUUGUAAACUAAAAAAAACUUACUUACCCUGGUUGAUGAGAUUUCUAAUUGAGCCUUAUACUAAAUCGGAAGGGAGGAAGCAUGUGAUUACGGUACAUGUCGACAGUGCAGUAGAUAGGAAUUUCCUACACCCCGAGCCAGCCUUCAGUGCUCCACUGUAGCUACAGUCCACGAAGCGUUCUCUCUCCAUUGCCCGGGCAGUCCGGGGCCUCGUAUAAGUGUCCCUUGGGACUUGCGCUUUGUUGGAUUGGUGUUAGAUAAUGGCGUUGCCGUGGCCUCGACCGGUCAUAUGAUGGAACAAUUUGCGUGAGCAAACUGAUAGGUCUUUCUCACAUGACGCAUCCUCCGUUCCUAAACAUAAGACUUUUUAGAGAUUCCAGUAUAAACUUUAUUGUUCUGCUGUGCUGGUCCUACGGGGCACGACGAUUUUUCGACUGUCUACUUCAACAAGUUUUGCCCGGCUCCGGCGAGGGUGGAGCAAUGACGGCGACGCACCUUCGGCUUGCUUCAGUGCUUGUAGUCGUAGCUAGGUGAUCUAUGGAUCUGUAUGUAAAUUUUGUUAUUUCUGAUGUUCUUGUACUGCCAUGAUUGAAAAUGAAUAGAUCAGAAGUUUUCACGCAAAAAAAGAAAGACAUUCCAGUAUAAGCUACAUCCGAAUAUUUCUUCAAAUCAGGGUGAACUUUUUUUAAUUCAAAUUUUGAUUAUAAAUUCAAAAAUAAUUCAUCAUUAUUUUCAAAUUUCAAAAAAACUUAAUCCAUGAAUUGUUUUUACACAUUCAUGAACAUUUUCUGAAUGAACAUUCUCAAAUUCGUACAUGUUUUGGAACUCGUGAACAAGUUUAUUUGCAUAGGCGAAUCCUGACCAAAAUUUGAAAUUCAGAAUUUUUUUGUUUUACACUUACAUUUUUUUUGAAUCAUGAGUAUUAUUUUGAAUUUGCGAACAUUUCCUGUUUUUUUAUAAAAACUUAGAAAACUUUGAUUUUUCAUACAUGUCCAGAAGAUUUGGAAAUUUCUGAACAUUUUUAUCUAAAUAUUCAUGAACAUGUUUUUUGAAAUUAUCAACUUUCUUUAAUACACAAACAUAUGUUUUGAAUCGGUGAUUUUUUUGAAUCUAUGAACAUUUCUUAAAAUACACGAAUAUUUUUUGAAUUCAUGAACAUUAGUUCAAUAAGCGAACAUUUUUUUCAAAAUCAUGAACAUUUUUGAAACCAUGAACAUUUUAUGAUUUCUAGAACAUUUCUUUCCAAAAUUCACUUUUUUUAAAAUUUAUAUAUUUUUUAAAUUACAAAACAGAUUAAAGAAGCAAAAUAAACAAGAAAACAACAUAAAAAAAUUACGGUGUCCAGCCCCGCACAUUGACCGGCCCAAUAGGGGCGCGCUGGCAUGUUCCCUAGCGCGUUACGCCUCAUAUAGCAGAGCAACUAAUCAAGGAGCGCUCCUUCCGAAGCUUCCCCAAGGGCCAGUUGGGGCGGGCUGAGAGCGUGUCACUUGGCGCACUCUCAACCACCGUCACGUUUCGCGCUUUGGCGUUCCCUUCAAAUUUUUAUUUUUUAUUUUCUACAUGCAUUUUCAGCUUUUAUAUGACUUGUUAUUUUUUUCAACUAUUCGGGUUUUGCCCUUACUUUUCUUUGGUUUCGGACAAAAAAACUCGAAUAAAAAAUUUGAUGUGAAAAAGCACAUUUUUUUUUCUUCCGCAAGAGAUACAUAUUUACUUCUUGUGGAGGCACAGAUUUGCUUUCGCAAGUGGCACAGCCGUGCCUCACACGAAAGGAAAAAAUAGAAAAGCAAAAAACAUGCUAUCCCCGGCACGAAUUUACUUCUUGUAGAGGCACGGAUUUCCAUUCGCGUUUUCCCUGGCACGGUUCGGUUUUUUCGUACUGUUUUUUCAUAACAAAAGUUGGUCGAAAUCUAUCAACAUGGGAGGAAUCCAAUGGAGAAAACAAUUCGAGAUUCGGACGCACAGUUUGAGAGAUAAAACUUUAAAUAAACGAAUCUAUGAAGUGGUAUACAUGCAGUGUGACACUUGUCGCAACCUGAGAGUGUGGGAGAAACCUGUGCAAAGAGCCUUAAUUAGUGAUUUUGGCCAUAUAGGAGGUCCCAUCACAUCUGUCGCGAGUUAGAAGUAACACUCACCUAUAGUCGCGGAGGUUGUGGGGUGGCCCAUUUACAUCAGUUUUUUUUCUGCAAAACUUUUCCAGGUCUGAUUUUUUAUGCCCUUCUGUUUUUUGUGUAUGGUUUUCAGUGUGGUUUCUUGGUUUAUGUCUAGCAUUUUCUCUUGUUUUUUCUCUUUUUUAAUUUCUUCACCAUUUCAUUUUUAUAUCGUAAAGAGUAAAAUAUGUAUUGUUUAAUAUUUUCCCUUUUUCUUCACUAAAAAAUACUUCCAUUAAAAUUAUUGAAAUAGAAAAAUAAAGUAAAUUUAAAAUUAAAUAAAAAAGUAAAAAAAUAUGAAAAAAUAAAUAUUACUAUCAAAGUCAACUAAUCUGACGACCUGGAAAUCACAAAACCCAAAUGUAUGUUGGUACGCUGACUGGCGGCAGUCGCGCGUUGCACCUAGGCCAUUUAGGGCCGCUGCAGGGGACGCCACACUCGGGAUCGCUUUAAACGAUGUAUAGAAGCAUCCGGAGAUAUUCUAUGAAAAAACACCUGGCGAGCCUGCCAAGACAUGACUCAUGUGACUGAACGAUCAUUGUAAAAACAUAAUUGAGGCACAAGGCCGCUGCAGGGGGGACGCAGCUUCGGUGCCUUUGUGAAGCAAAGGCACAGAGCGCCUUAGCCCACUAUAGCAGCCCUCCAUUCUACAUUCAAUGGACAGGAUUCACUCAAGGCAAAAAAAGGCCCGGCCUUGGUAGUUUUCAGGUGUGAGGCGCUGGACACUCUCCAGCCUUAAUAUUUUCACACAGAAAAUAUCUGAUGUUGAACAUAAUAUGAAAUGAAAAGUAAUCCCAUUAUACAAGGGAAAAUAUGACAGUAUAACAUUGAAAAUUGCAAGCAAUUAACUUCAUUGUAUAAUACGUACAACAUUGAAAAUUGCAAGCACUACAUAUCAAAUGUCUGAAGCAAACAAAGAAAGAAACCCUGAACAUCAUAACCUUGAAAUUUGCAAGCACUUAGCAUUCUUACAACUCUGUAGCACAAAUAUUCAAGCACUUGACAUUGAUAGUCUGAACCAUAUCAUUCAAAUUCUGUAGCAACAAGUACUACUGAUGAAUAACCAUCCAAGUAUGUUAUAUAAUAGGCCAUUUCACUUGUACACUUAGGCCACAAAAGACUAUAGUUAGCCACCAAAAUACCACUAGAUAACUAUAGUUAACCCCCAAAGUAUUAUCUAACCAACAUCUAGAUAUUAGAACAAAUUUCCACCAUAAAGACGAUCAUCUUCACAAGUAGGGGAGCUGUGAGGAGCUGAGUAAAGCUCUCAAUGGCAAUGUACUGUUCAUUUCCCGCAUUUGCGCUUCUCUUGUUGCGAUCAUUCUUCACUUCCACUUGGGGAUGUACAUCUGCAUUUUUCCUUUUUUGCUGCAAUGAAAGCUCAACCUUUUAGUGUAUUAACAAAUGACAAAAGAAAUUAUUAUCUUCAGAUUAGAAUAUACUUUUGGUCCUUUCUUGGUCGAAACAACAGGUUUAGUUGCCUUGCACUUGACCUUGUGCAACCUAUCAAGCCAAUUUUUCUUUCUCUUUGAAAUUUUUGGGCUGAACCUCCUUUUUCUUCAGUUUAGCAACUCUUAGCAAGUCAUCUCUUUGCUGCACAUUUGGGUCAGCAUUUUCUUGGUCAUUACUUGGUUCAUUCAUAGCACUAGUAGAUGCAUUGAGUUUUUCCUCCAACUGUGGACCAACGCAAUCAAGUGCAUUUUCUAAUAGCACACAACAUUCUGUAGAGUAGGCUAUUUUAAAUGCCAUACUAUGAAAUUUAUGAGAUAGUUCCUUGUACCCAAGCAUAGCUUCCAGUUUUGGAUUUUCUACCACAUUCCUUCCUUGCCUAUCCGAUAUACUUCCUUUGCGUGCUUCCCUAGUCCAUCUCUUCAAGACAUAAUGUGUUGGUAGUGUUUUUAUGUUCAUCAAAUCAAGAACUUUCAAUCCAUGUCCACACAACACUCCUGCCCUUUCAAACAUUCCACAAGUGCAUGUUGUUGUUUGGUUAAAAGGAUCACCUAUCACUAUGCGCUCAUCCUCAAAAGGUGAAUCACCAUGCAAACUACCAAUAGCAACAACAUAUUUGUUUCCAUCCAAUACUUUACUACAUGCAGCCAUGGAUCUUUCAUACUCACUUUGGAAAGCUUCAAAAAAAAUUGGAGUGUACACUUUGCUUGCUUGUACCAACAUAGGGGUGCUCAUCUUUUCGUUUUUCUUGCUUAAAAUUCAUAUUCCAGCUCUUUGUUUCUUUUUUGUUCCACUAUCCUUUCAAAAUGCUUUAAAAAUCUAACAAUAUGAAAAUCAAAUUUCAAAUGGUUCUUCAAUGAAUUGUUGAAGCUCUCACUUAAUUGUGUGCUUCUCACUCCCAAACUGAAGACGUCUCUCAUAAAACAUUCAACCCACUUUUCUUUUACCUUGUAGAUACUAUCGAACCAAGUUUCCUUAUGCAUCUUUAACCUCAUGUUGGCAAAUGCUUCUUCAAACUCUUCCUUGUCCUCAUAGCCAUACAUACAAGCACUAAAAUCAGUGAGAAUAUGUGAUUCUUCGUCUUCAUCUUUGUCUUCACCCUCCUCUUUCUCUUCACCCUCAUCUUCAUCUUCAUCCUUAAUCGGAGAUAGAUGUUUGACAGCAUUUUGCAUUAUAUGAAAUGUACACAGUCCAUGGUAUGCUUCUGUGAACACAUCCUCUACAGCUCUACCCAUUGCAUAAUCUUGAUCGGUAUAAAUAGUUCUUGGUUGCCUUCCAUUAUGCGCACCUAGGAACGUUUUAAAGAGCAAUUUGAAUGAGGCUAAUGUUUCGCCAAACAUCAGUGCAGCACCAAAAACUAUAGUCUCCCUAAACUGAUUGAGCCCAAGAAAAACACCAAAUGGCCUAUAUUCCUUGUUUGCGCCAAAAGUAGUGUCAAAUGUGACAACAUCGCCAAAGUGUGCAUAGCCUAACAUCAUUUUAGCAUCGGCCCAGAAAAUGUUUGAUAUAUUCUCCUCACAAUCUAGUUGCAAAGCAUAUUGAAAUGAUGGACUUUCAACAAUUUUGUCUUGAAAAUACUUUAACAUGCUGCCCGCCUGACAAAAAGCCAACUCCCUCUGCCUCUUGCUUUGCAAAUGAUUUCUGUGAUCACAAGGAGUGUAGCCGAGAUUAAGUGGUCCACCAACUUGACGAGUAGCAAGCUCAUAUGGGACGCGGAGGAAUUGAUCCCGAGCUCAUAUGCUCCCGCAUGAACAGUAAAAUCGAAAAAAUAUCGAAAAAAAUUCAAAAAAUUCCAAUUUUUUUUGGGAGAAACAUUGACAAAAGUUCUAAGUGCCUGCAAAAAUUCGUCGUGAAAUCACAUUCCUAGAAGGCAUGGCGAAAAAAACAAAAACAGUACCCUAAAAAAGCUACUUUCAAAAGCAUUUUGAAGCACUGAAUUUGUUUUUUUUUUGCCACGCCUUACAGGAAUGUGAUUUCAUGAUGAAUUUUUGCAGGCACUUAGAACUUUUGUCAAUGUUUCUCUCAAAAAAAAUUGGAAUUUUUUGAAUUUUUUUGAUAUUUUUUCGAUUUUACUGUUCAUGCGGGAGCAUAUGAGCUCGGGAUCAAAAGAUGACUUUCGGCUCAUAUGCAGCUUGAGGCCUAAUUCCAGAAUCAUCCGCGGCUUCGAUUUCAAAAGCUUGAAAUUCUGAAAUUUUCCUUUGGGAAACCAUCAGGUGGCGGGUUUGUGGCAAGUGAAGGAGGUGAUUAUGUUCAAGAACUACAUCAGUGAUUUCCAAGUUUUCGGACUCUCGAUCCAAUGUAAGACUCAUCCGAGCUUUGCAAUCGGUUCUUGUUUGAGCUCUAAAGCACUUCUGAAUGAAUUAUCUUUGCCCCUUUUUGCGAUGACCUUCAUUGGCACAAACAAAUCUGCAAGAGGUUACCUUACCAUCAAAUUUGCUCACAUUGUUGUACCUUUUCCUCACAUGAAAGCCAACACGACCACCAUAUGCUCUCCAAAACAUCCAAGCCUCCUGUGAACUUUUAAAGAACAUGCCAACUUGAGGCAUCCCCUUAUCAGAUUGUGACAUUGCACACCACCCAAUUUAUCUGCGCCAACACAUAUAAUCAGCUGACUAAAUUGCACAACACCAACUAAUAUUCUAGAUGCAAACUUGAAACAAUUACUAAUACUAAUAUUGCACUAAUAUCUGGUGUGUGCGUGUGUGGUGUGUGAUCUGAACUUGCACAACCAUGUAUUAUAUCUGGUGUGUGUGAUCUGGACUGGUCAAAAGAAUUACUACAACUUGCAGAACCAUGUAAUUAAACCCAUUAACAGUCGCGUGAAUGGCGCCUCCUAGCGCUUGCCACGUCGAAUGCGUGGGUUGGCCAGAAAAGUAAAAGGGAUAAAAAAAAGGAAAAGAGUGGAAAAGUUCUCUAGGGAAACCCUCUCACCCCACGUCUUCCGCCUCCCUUCGCCUCGAGCGCCUCCUCCUCCCUCUCGAGCGCCGCGGACCAACGGCGCGACCGUCCGUGUCCAUCUCGGCGAGACCAAGGGCGCGCCUCGUGGCCGUCGCCCGGCGCUACUACUCCGGCCGCCAGGCCUUCGUUCUCCAGGGCGGGACUGCGCCGGGAGGUUCAAGGAGUUCAACGCCAACAACAUCCGUGACACCUUCCGUCUCCUGCUCCAGAUGGGCAAUGUCCUCAUGUUCGGCGGCCAGGUCCCCGUCGUCAAGGUACAAGCCGAUUGCCCAAAUCGAAUUGGUCAUUUUAUUUGUGAGAUCUCAUCCGAUCUGCUCCCUGUUGUUUGCACAUUAGAUGGGACGGAUGGCUGGCCAGUUUGCCAAGCGAGGUCAGAUAACUUUGAAGAGAAGGACGGGGUUUAGCUGCCCAGCUACAAGGAGACGACGUCAAUGGCGACGCGUUCGACCUGCAAGUUUGUAGCAGAGUUUUGUUGCGGUACCUGUAGUCGUUGUCCUCUUUAAAUACCCCCUGUUGAAUUUCUUCCACAUAUCUCCUUAUCACGACAAGGCAAGUGAUAGGUUGCUCGUUUUAUAUACUACUCCCUCUGUUCCUAAAUAUAAGUCUUUUUGGACAUUUCAAAUGAAAUACAACAUACGGAUGUAUGUAGACAUAUUUUAGAAUGUAAAUUCACUCAUUUUACUCCGUAUGUAGUCACUUGGUGGAAUCUCUAGAAAGACAUAUAUUUGGGAACGGAGGGAGUAUUAUGUUGCUAUUACUAGGGCGAUGUUUAUCCAGUGAAUCUUAUGAAAGCUUCUCCAUGAAUCGAAUUCUUGAUACUCAUUGGGGUGCCAUGACGGAUGGUGAUGUAAGUUCUUGCAUGCUGAAAAUUAGUGGCAAGAGCCCUGAAGUGUACUUAAACACUAAAAAAUUUAAAAAAAAUUUGCAUUGAACUACAAUUGCAACUUUAAUACCCAUUUACUUUGUCGAUCCUUGUGAAUGAUUCCCUGGAACUUUUCGCCGUCUCUUAUCCGGCAUUUUUCUAUCUCGCUGUCUACUGCGUUGGCGAGACUAAUUAGAUGCUUUAGUGAUUCUCUUUUGAAGCAUCACUACUAAUGUUUUGGAAGCAUGUCCACCAUGAUUUGUAAAAAUGACAUGAUGAAUGUGCUAUCUGUAUUAGUAAUGCAUCUUCUUAUUUCACCCAGAGUAAUUCUGUUUAGUUGCACCUUUGCACAGAUAUUUUAGUGUUUCUUGCUUUCACCGGUUGAUUUGUUUCUAUGAGUUACUGAGAGCUACUCUGUAUUUUGUUCCUAUUGAUGUACAGGUUAUACUGAUGAAACUUCGGUUAUCAAGGAUGUACCAUGUAUCUACUGAGUAAUGCUAAUAGUUUGCUCUUUGUUGUCCAAUACUUCUAUAUAUGGAUUGGUUGCUCCACUUCAUGUGACUCCGUGAGAGGUGGGAUUAGAUUUCCUGUUCAGUUUAUGUGUUUCAAGAAAGAUAUUUGGAUAAUUUGAGAUUGUCAUUUAUAUUUGGAUCUUCAUUCUUCUCCGCGGGUAUAUUCCCACAUUGAACUGGAUUAUUGCUAUGAUUUGGUUGAUUCAGACAUAUUGUAUCUUGAAUGGCUUUCACUGCUGGGCAAAUCAAGCGAUGGAAGAUAUUUUUUUCAGUGAUAUUGAAGCACAUUGAUACUGUUAUACGAUGCAUCAUUUCUUUUUUCUAAUCUGGAUGUGCUUGCGUUCAGAAAAUUAUUUGUUCAUUUUUGCUUUUUGAGGCAUAUAACAGGAUAUAACUUUGUUGUUGAAAAUCCAUUAAAGAGAUGGAAGAUAAAAUUAUUUGCAAUCAAAUCUGAGAUGCAUACUAUUGAAUGCCAAUAUUUAUGCUAGAUCUUUGAAUAGUUUAGUGUCCAGUAUAUGAAGCAGUGAAGUGAGAGCAUGUAGUAAAGGUAGGGUAGGUAUGAUUUUAUCGCAAGUUGUGUGUGAAACAUCCUAGCAAUUACUCAUGUGGUUAGAUAAUGAUAUAUUUAGGAUGGACCUUUAGCUGCUGAAAGCUGGCAGUUUAUUUUUAUUAAUUCUCUGUUGCCAUUUCCUAGAAUUUCUUACUUUUUUAAUAGGUGUUAUGCUUUACAGAUCCAUGGCACUUGUGAUGUUAUCUGCUACUCAUUUGUGGGCCUUGCGGUUGUCGUUCUCAUGGCUCGGCCAUUCGCGUCUAUGCAGGGUGAGCUCUCAUCUGUUUGCCUGUUUACUUGGUCGUUCGUAGAGAAUAUAUUUCUGGUGCUUUGUCUUGGUUGAUAGCGUAUUCUGCUCUUGCGUUCUUACUAUCAAGGAGAUGGAUAGGUAUAGAUUCUAGGCAUGUCCUUGGUCCCUGCAAAGUAGUUUUUUUUCCUUCCAUGCUUUAUUGGGUACCUUGCUCUUUUCCACCGUUGGUCAGGAGACAAAUAUAGCAUCAAAUUGGGUAGCAGAAAAUAAGAUUUGUUCUUUUACAAGGAUUACAGUGUGUCCUAUCGACAUCUGGUUUUAGAGCCUGCCAGAUUGGUUUCCAGUUCAUGCUUCUUAGGUUCUGCGGAUAACUAUGGAGCAAUGGACAUUCUUUGCUCCACUCAUGAAUGCAUGCACAAAAGUUGUUCCCUCAUUUAUUUUUCUGUGCAAUUCAUGAUUUAUUGCCUGGUGUGCAUUCAUGUUACCUUUUCGGAUUGUUCUUUGGUGGCUGAUACAGAUGCAAAAGAAAAUUUGAAAAGUUGGACCAAUGAUAUAGUGCUUGCUAAAAACAACAACUCUAAAUAAUUGUUGCAGGUUAUUUGUGAGGAUAGACCCAAAACUUCUUUCUACAUCUAUACCUUCAUGUUCCUUGUUAAAAGUGUCUUCAAGAAAUGCCAUUUGUUCACUUCUUUCUUUGCUCUUGGCCUUUUCUUCAUUUACAUGUACUCACUGAAACCUGACAUGGCAUGUGUAGCUGAGGAGGCGAGCCAUCAGUGUGAGUUUCAGGAAGAGAUGACAACACAAGUGAUCUUGAUUGGUAACAUGUUUGGAAUUGUUGUGCAUGCAUGGUACGAACAUGUGCAACACUAAGAAAACCAAAACAAAAGUGAGCUUGUGGUUUGCGGUGUUUUCCCUCUGAAUUUUCUCAUUAGUAUGUCCAGAAAGGCAUAUUAGUGGAAGAGCAUACAAGAAAACCUUAACAUGUUAGGAACUUUUUCAUGUACUAGAAGGUUGUUGUACAGAAAUUUUCUUCUGAAACCAUGUCAUAAUCUUAGAUUUCCCAUUAGUUGGUUGUUGGUCAGUUCUAAAACUAUCUGUACAUUUUGCCCAAGGAAUUUGUUUUCUUAUAGUUCAUUGAUUAUUUUGGAUUAACUCAAUGUGAUCUUCCCAAUCUAAUAUAUGUACUUUUAGCUCUAAGGACUAGCAAGAGUUAAUGAUGCAGGCUGUGAUUGUGAACACUAGUAGAAAAAGGGCCUUUAGUCCCGGUUCUGGAACCGGGACUAAAGGGUCGUUACUAAAGCGUCCCCCUUUAGUCCCGGUUCUUACACGAACCGGGACUAAAGGCCCUCCACGUGGCCGCUGCCUGGAGGUCCACCUUUAGUCCCGGUUGGUAACACCAACCGGUACUAAAGGAAAUUUUAUGAUUUUCUUUUUGAAUUUUUUUAUUUUCAAAUUUCUGAAUUAUUUUAACCUCUAAUCUCUAAUCACUGCUCAAUUUAACCUCUAAUCUCUAAUCACCCCUCAUCAUUCCAAAUCAUCUAACUUCCCGAACGGUCACCCAUCCUCUCACUACUCCAGCCUGAGCACGCUUAACUUCCGGGUUCUAUUCUCCCUCGUUUCCAAGUCUGCACUUGUUGUUUUCCUGACAAUAGUAAGAUGUCAAUCCUAUUAACCCUCAGGAAUUUAGCUUGCGCAUGAAGUCACACAUUUCACUGUUUGAGUUUGAAACUAUUGUUCUAAAAAACAAUAAUUAUUUAGUAACAGUGAUAUUUCUUGAAUAAGUAGUUUGACCAUAGUUUGACCACAGUUUGACCGGAUUUGACCAAAAUUCAAAAAAACUGAAAUAAUUAUUUAGUAACACUAAUAUUUCUUGAAUAAUUAGUUUGAUCAUUGUUUGACCACAGUUUGACCAGAUUUGACCAAAAUUCAAAAAACUGAAAUAAUUAUUUAGUAACACUAAUAUUCUUGAAUAAUUAUUUAGUAACACUAAUACUUCUUGAAUAAGUAGUUUGACCAUAGUUUGACCAGAUUUAACAAAAAUUCAAAAAAAACUGAAAUUUGAGCAUAACUUUUUUUCCUUUUAGAAUUUGAGGAUUCCAAAAAUUUGAGGAUUUUCCCUACACUUUUUGCAAAACAUGUCGAAAUUUAAGUUUUUUAAUUUUCCUAACUAGUACAUGUAGUAACAUAACUUCACCUGGAAGGAUUUUAAUUUUUGAAGUUUUUAUCAUUUUCUUUUGCUUUUUACAAAACUGAAAAGGCGAUCUAGGGGGGGUAGAGUUUGAAAAUGGGACCUUUAGUGCCGGUUCGUGCCAUGAACCGGUACUAAUGCCUCAAACCCCAUUAGUACCGGUUGGUGGCUCGAACCGGGACUAAAGGUCUAACCUUUAGUACCGGUUGGUGCCACGAACCGAUACUAAUGGGCAUCUCACCCUUUAGUCCCGGUUCGUGGCACCAACCGGGACUAAAGGUCCCAUUUGAACCGGGACUAAUGCAUGUACGGUGCCCUAGCCGCUCGAACCGGGACUAAUGCUCACAUUAGUCCCGGUUCGUAAUGCAACCGGGAUUAAUGCUCUUUUCUGGCCGAACCAAAGCCCUGUUUUCUACUAGUGGAAUGAAGUACCGGUUGUUGCUAAUUUUGUAUUUUUGUUUGUACAACUCAGGUGUUUGAUGCAUUUCUUCUCCUGAAAAGGGAUAAGUAUCUGAGGUGAUUUCUUGUUUGCAUGAUAUUACAGUAGGCAUGUUAAAAUGUUGAUGUUCCUUUUGACCAUGCUAAUGUGUUUGUCCACUCACUGCGCCUACUAUGUUUUAUUUAUUUUGUCUCAGGGAAUCUACUUGGCUUUCAGUCUAUGAAUAUUUAGAUCAAUAUAUUUUAAGGUUGUAAAGACUGAAGAUCAUAAAUUCAUUGUUUACUCUACCAAGUUUGUUCCUCUUUGAGGAUGAUUGUAGAAACUAUCAGUCCAUUCCUACUUUGUUUGCAACCUAUGGUAUAUCCUCAUAUAUGUCAAGAGGUCCUUCUCAUGCAUCUUUUCAUUAUGAUCUGCGUUAGCCUCCUUUGCACCCAUUACUUUGAGUUUCAAAGUGAACAUGUUGAUAUUUAUGUCAUUUGAUUCUUGGCUAAAUCAAGACUAAUCUUACUCUUGAAUUUUUCUUGGGAUACUAAGUAUGAGACAAGCAUGCUUCGGUAUUUAGGACAAACUGGAAAGAGUGACUGGGUUUAAACAAAACAUAUAACAAAAAGUAAAACAAUUUAGGUUUGGGGGUUUUCUGUAGGAAUUUGAUGGGAUUAAUGAUCAGCAUCAGGUAUUCUAUUGAUGAGCCGUGUGUUUUAUGAAGGAUUUGUGUGUUUUUUUGCAGGUCAUAUCGGAUCGAGUGAUAGCAGAGGGUCUCAAGCCUGAUGAAUCGAAUGUUGACGUGGGACCAGUUUUUGUGAUGUCCAGCUCAUCAUCCACUGAGGCACCGCAGAAGAUGGUCCAAGGUCUACUUUUUAUUUUUCUUCAUUACCCAAAUUAGUAGUAUCCCUUGAUAGUCUUACCUUCAGUAAGAUCAUUCUUAAUUAGUUUUGUGCACUAAUCGAUAGCUCAUGUCUGAUAAUGGGUGAGAGCCAGUUAAGUUAGCAUGAACACAUUAAACAGUUCAAGUUAGCAUGCUCUCAUAAUCCUAGGACUGUAUUUUCUCAAUAAUCAAAGUUACAGUGACCAUAAACCUAUGAUACGAUACUGUAUAUUUGAGAAAAUAAAUCAUGUGAGUCAAUUUGAACUGGGGACAUAUCAUGAUGAGUAAUGUUAACGUCUUGGCUAAUAAUCAAAGACAAUAACUGCAAGAGGAAUAAUGUAAUUCGAAGUACAAAAAAUGUCCUGUUAAGAAAUUUCCAGCAUGUUUUAUAUUGACAUCUGUUGUCAUUCUUAUGAACCUCUUCUAUCUUGUCUUUUUGAUUUGUUUUUGCUCAUAUGGCUUUCAUGUACAGGCAAAGUUAGGAAUCUUCCUGUAGUGUGGUCAUUGCCAUGUUGGACACUGCCAUUCCUCUGUGAUGCAAUUUCAAGAAUGGAAAAGGUAGCAGAACAAGGCAGUGCUAUAGCAACUGCUGUGGAAGGGGUCGAUGGGGAAAUAGAUUUGCAGAUAGCCUUUUCCAGUUUCUCAAGGCCACCCAUGGCAUAUUCUAUUCAGGCCUCUUUGAUUAACUAGCUGAUGUUAUAUUUUGGGUCCUUCAGGUUCUCAUAGAAAAUCUUCGAGAUCAUAUGUUCAAGCCUUCCUUGUUUGUCCACUAUCAUGAUUGAAAAUAGCAGGUAAAUUGGUACUGCCAAGAAUACAUAUGAUGCGAAAAUUUUGUAAGACUGAACCAUUUUAGUAUGAUUGAAUCUUAUUAUGUGGUGCACUUAUAACUUGUCUCUAGAAGUGAGAAGGGGCCUCAUGAAUCUUUGUAAGAUUUUUAAAUUACACUCUAAGCGCGAUUCAGUUUCUAAAUAUGGUUGAUCAAGCGUUGGAUGGCCGGCUCCCGCAUCAAUGUCCGCGGACGAAUGUCGAAGGAAAUUUGCGGCUUGAGGUUGGAGAUGCCCUAACACGGUAAACGGGUUCUGAGCUGAAAGUAACGGUGUCUAGAGCUAUUUUGUAGUAUGCACCUACGGGAGCAACAAUGACAUUUUUAGCAUGUGAAAUUUCCAGUGGCAAAACUGAGGUAAUGGCAUAAAUGGUAAAAAAACAUAUUUUUAAAGUUCCCAUGAAUUGGACAGUCAUACUUGGAAGAAUGAAUUGUCAAAUAGAAUUUUAAAAAAUACAAUUUUCUUAGAGUUUUGUUCCGAAUCUUCAACCAUAAAAAAUACAAUUUUCUCCUGUUGUUUUAAUUUUCUGUGUUUGCUGGCGUAAAGAAGGACCUUUAUUCGCAGAAAAGAAAAGUACUACGGCUACUUCCCUACCGUACCGUGCUUAAGGCCCUGUUUGGUUCGGCUAUGGAUUUCUAAAAGCAGCUGUGGAAAAACAGCUGUGAAAAAUCUGAUAGGAAAAAGAUGUAGGUCAUUUGGCAAACCAGCUGAUACAGCUUUUUCAGAUUUUGGCCCGCAGCGGAAUCAGGUUUUGGAAAACACGUCCUGGGCUGCAACCGCUUUUGGUUCAGAUUUUGACAGCGGAUUUCUGAAAUCGGAUUCUGCUGGGUUCACCCUUUGGUUCAAAUUCUGCUGCGCCGCAGCGGAAUCCGUGGAUAAAAGGAAACUUUGGGGAAUGGACGGUGACCGCGGUCGGUCUGGGUCACCGCACCGGCACCCGCGUGGGAGCUCCACCUCCCAGGUAGUUUCCAGGAAGCCACCGUCAUCCCGCAAACCGCGACCAAAAAGCGGCCGGGUUCCACUGCUUGACAGACCGCUGCGCACUGACGCUACCUCUCCUCACUCAUGCAUCCGUGACUUGUGGCGGCAGCUGGCGAACAAGGGCGACAGAGGUUAGCCUCCAAUCCAACUCUCUCACCCCGCGGCCUCCCACCUCUCUCUUCUCUGUGUCCCGAUGGUGGGUUGUGUUGUGUUUAGGGGCGCGUUAGUCCGGCGAAUCUGUGGCACAGGCUCGGGUGGAUUUCGUAGGGGAGGUCGGGCGGAUUGGGGGGCGCGGCGGUCGCGAGGAUCUGAGGGGAGAGGAAGCCGCAUGAGGAGGCAGAAAGCACGGGUAUCUGAUGGCUGUGUGCGUGCGUGCGGCCGUCGUGCUUGCUGGCUGUGAUGCCGGCGUGUGUGGACUGUGGAGUGUGGACGCGUGCUUGCCGCCGUGUGUGCUUGCGGUGUAAUGGUCUAUUGUAGCACUUCUUAUGUGAUGAAACUACUAGAGUAGUAUGAACGUCUUCGAUUUGAAAUCUUCAGAGAGCGCUGCCGGGCGCCGGCCCUCUCUCUCGAUCCCAAAGCGCCGGUGGUCCAUAUCCUUUCCAUCCGUAGAGCAGCAGGGCUGGCCGGUGCCCCCCACCCACCCAUCUCUAUCCAUCUCCAUCUCGAAUCGCUGUAGAUCCAUAUCCGCCCCCAUCCGAGCAGCACCAAGCUCCUCCCAAUGUCUCAGCAUGGGCCAUGAGUAAGCAGCAUAUUUCAACGGGAAGCACGGUAGGAGAUUCUCCCCAUCCCCAGUUCCCCAUCUCCUGUACUGAGCUGUGAGCUCUGCUCUGCUGUAUUUGGAAAGGGGUUUAGCCCGGUUCAAAAAGGAAAUAAAAAAUAAGCACCGUAGGAGAUGGAGCAUUUUGUCAGAUCUGUUUGUCUACUACUCCCUCCGUCCCUGGUGUUAAAAACGUUCUUAUAUUUUGAGACAGAGGGAGUAUUAUAUAAUUUCAUAUGUUUUUUCCAUGCAAUGCUUUCUUAUUAGAUCUGUUCUUCAACAGUUUGAAGACAACCAUCUCCUGUAACCAUCAUACUGUUGGUGAGCCAUACGGUGUAGUAUUAUCAAUUUAUUAUGGUAAUAGGGUUACAUUCAUGAACCGAACAGAAUCGGUUCUUACCCAUUGACGGUUUACUAGGUACACGUUACUUUCCAUUGCCUUUUUGUAACCUAACACAUCCUAUAGAUGCGAUGGCAUAGUUUCAGUCUUUCCUGUUUCUAGCUGCCGAGCAGUUGAACCAUGCUGCAUUCCAAUAACUACUUUUGCUGUCAGGAAGCAGAAGAUCGUUCCGUAAGCCUGCUGGGUGGGACACAACCACGGCAUGGAUUUUACAUUCCACUUGAUCGAAACUAUUACAAACAACUUUGCAGAGGAUCAGAAAGUUGGCAGCGGUGGAUCCGGAGAUGUUUACAGGGUAUGGACUAACUACUGUAUUUUCUGUGUUUAGUUCUGAGUUCUGACUCUCAAUUAGUAAUCAGGGUCUAUAAAAUGAAAAGUGGCCGAUUUUUGUUAGGCGGUGCAUGAUGGGGAAGAUACUGCCGUGAAGAAACUGCAUCCCUUGCAAGGGCUGGAUGAUAAGCAAUCUGACAAUGAAUAUCGUAACCUUAUCAUGGUACGCCACAAGAAUAUUGUGCGGUUAAUUGGCUACUGCUAUGAAACUUGGCACAAAUACGUGGAGCACAAGGGGAAACUUGUCUUCGCUAAAGCAAUGGAGCGAGUGCUCUGCUUCGAAUAUAUGCAGGGCGGAAGCCUUGAUAAACACAUUCAAGGUAACAUAUAUCAGUGUCAAUAUAAGUAUCUUAUAUGCAAGGGACCGGAGUCUGAUUCUUUGGUACAAUAAAGUUCACCCUCCAGGAUUUGCCUGCAACUUAUAUUUAACAUAAAACGGAGUAGUUGUUUCAUCUUGAUACGACUAAAAUGACAACUGGCAACAUGUAUUAGUUUUCCUAUCAAGAUGAAUGAUGCAAUAGCUUAUUUUAUAUGUAUUUUUUUCUGCCAAUUGCAGAUGAAUCUUGCGGACUUGAGUGGCCCACAUGUUACAAGAUUAUCAAAGGGACUUGUGACGGACUAAAUCACCUUCACAGCUCCCAGGAAAAACCUAUUUUCCAUCUGGACUUAAAGCCUGGUAAUAUUUUGCUGGAUAAAAGUAUGACGCCCAAAAUUGCGGAUCUUGGUUUCUCAAGACUUGUAGGUUCAACAAAAACGCGACAAACAGAGAUGCGCGAUGGAACACUGUAAGUUGAUGGAUCAUCUAAGCCGUUAAUUUUCUCAAGGGAUUCUGAACAAACUUUUCCAUGUAUUUUACCAAUUAACCAUAUCAAUGCAGCGGGUUCAUGCCACCGGAGUACAUUGACAGUGGCUUGAUAUCAGAGAAAUUUGACGUUUUCAGUUUGGGCGUCAUAAUUAUAAAAAUGUUGUCUGGAAAUAUGAGCUACUUCCGUUGUUCCGAAAUGUCUCCCGAACAGUUUAUUGAGCUUGUAAGGAAAACUCUUCUCUCCUGGCAAGAAGGAAAAGAAAAAAAAAUCUCUAUUUAUACCAUUAACACAUAUAAGUCUUUUUGGCAUUUUUUUCGCUGCAAACUAUCUAGUGUAUGGAUAGGGAGUUUUAUGCUCCAAUUGUGCAUGCAGGUAAGUGAAAACUGGACCAAAAAGUUGCAGGCAAAUCCUGGAUAUUCCUCACAGGAAAUAGACAUCCUAGGAGUGACUUCAUGUGUUGAGAUUGCAUUAAGGUGUGUGGACAAGGACAGAAACAAAAGGCCAUGUAUCAAGGACAUCGUCCAUGAACUAGAGGAACUAGAAGUUAAGAUUGGAAAAAUGUCACCACCCACAUAUCAUACUGUAAUGGAUCUUCCUUCCUAUGUCAAGAGUGUUCCUCUAACCCAAGGAAUCGAGGCACAGGAGCCAGGCAGUGUGUAUACAUGAGGAAGUUUAUUUUACGAUCUUAUGCUCCGUUUGGAUGCAAAGUAUUUAGAAAACCCACAUCAUUUUAACUUUUACUAUGGAACAUGCAUAUAUGUUGUUCCAUGGGAUGCGAGCAGAAGGCUAGUGCGAAGAUUGGACCAUGGGGUGGAGAUGGAGGGACAGCUUUCAGCGCAGAAAGACCGGUGCGUCUAGAAAGCGUGACAAUUCACAGCAGUGAUGUAGUUGAUUCGCUUGCAUUUUCCUACAUUGAGGAAGCUGGUGUGUCUCUUACCGCUGGUCCAUGGGGUGGCGAUAUUUUGUCCCAUGAAUGCAAUUAUAUUCCCCUGGUGUGAUCCAUUUGUGCACAAAGGUACUUCCUUACUCGGUGAUUUAUCUCCCUGCAGAUCCUCCUUGACCAAUUAGAGAGUGUCAAGGAAGUUUCUGGAACAACAGCUACGUAUGAAGGACAGAUUGUUGUAUCAUCGCUCACCCUUGUCACCAAUGUGGGAAAAUAUGGUCCAUAUGGGAAACCAGCUGGCACUCCUUUCAGCGUCCCCGUUGGUGACAACAGCAGCGUUGCGGGAUUCUUCGUGCGUGCACACACCGGUCCCAAAGUUGUCCUCUCGCUACCAACUGAAUGUCUUAUGAAAUACAUACGUACGUACUACGUACCUAAGGGCUUUCCUGGCCGGUAGCUGGGUCAAUAUCUUAGGACCACGAUAAGUCCGGAACGUUCAGAUUUUGCGCAUGUCAAAUUGAAUGUUUUUUCUGGCAACUUUAGUUGAUGCGAGGCGGCAAUUUAGUUGGUAAGCAUGGAAAAAAAAUUCGGUCAACAUGUUAGGACCCCGGUAAGUCGUGAAUGUUUGGAUUUUUCCCAUCACAAAUGGAAUGUUUUUUUAUGACAACUUCAGUUGGUAAGCAUGCAUGGUAAUUUAGCUGGCCAUUAUACAAAUCAUGGAACAUUAGUAAAAGGUCUCCUUUGACAAUUUCUCAACAACGCUUGUAAAAUUCUGUUGGGAAGCCAUCAGGGACAUGGCGCUUUGUUGUUUUUCAUUUGCGCAAUAGCCUCAAAAACCUCCUUCUCAGUGAACGGGGCGGACAAAAUCUCGUUUUCAUCCGACCCCAGCUGUGGCAAAUCACUAAUCAUGUGCUCAUCGAGCAUCACAUGAUUCUGCUCAGGUGGCCCAAAAAGUUUCUUAUAGUACUUAGUGAUGUACAAUUUUAAGUUCUCGUGCUCUAAAAUUGUACCCUCAUCUUGCUCCAAAUGGAUAAUUCUAUUCUUCCUAUGUUUCCAAUUGGCAAUCAAACCGAAAAAACCGGAUAUUAUUAUCACCCUAAAUUACUUGCCUAACAUUUGCUCUGAGUGCCCACUUCAUCUCAUCUUCUCUAAGUAGUUUUUGUAACUUCUCGUAAGCCUCACUCUUGGCCCUUUGGUCCGCCGUUCCCAACACAUGGACCUCGGCCUUUAAAUCUAAGUCAUUAAUGAUUUUGAGUAGUCUUUCUUUUUCAUCCUUAUAGAUUCCACUUUCCUUUUUGGGAAACACUUCCUAUCAGAAUUCUGAUUGAAAGUUUCUGCCAGACCAAGAUUUGGGUAUCAAAAUUUGAGGAGUGUGAUUGUGGAGAAGCCCAAAUGAGGACCUGCCCAGCGUAUCUGCGGGCGUAUAGAGACCCGAAUUAGGCUAUUUCGGUUGUAGAUGCUCUAAAAUUGCAGGUUUGACGUAAGAAAUAAAACUAUGCAUCUUUUUAUCUCCUCCUCGUGUAUUUUUAAAACUUAUAUGAAUUUGGAUAGACAGAUUUUGAAAGAACGAAUUAUCAAAUAAAAUCGACAAUAUUAGAUGUCUGAUUUUUGUUCCCAACUUUCAACAAAAAUUUGUAGACUCCGAGCAAAAUCUUGUGAACUUUCAACAAGUUCCUCCUCUUUCAUCUGUUUCCUGUCAUCUUAUUAUUAUUAUUAUUUUGCAGCCUGAGCUACUUUCCCUACGCUGCUGCUUGAGAAAUAAGUAAGUGAAAAUGUUAAAAAUCUGACGGCGGGUCCUCUUUAGGCAUGGCAAAUAAUAUGUUUUUUAUCGCAAUUUAUAUUGGUGCGAGGAUGACAAAUUUUCGCAAGCACGACAAUUGUCUGGAACCGAGGCAGAUUUAUCAUGCUCGCGACUGAACAUGUCAUCCUCGAAGAACAUAAUUUGCCAUGAAAAAAAAUUGAUUUGUCAUGCCUGAAAAUCAGACUUUCGCGGGAUAUUCAGUGUUCAUAUAUAUUUUUUUGAGGGGCAGUGUUCAUAAAUAAGUGACGGGAGAGAAAGAGAGUCUUUGGGGGGUUGGGCGGUGGGCCGCGUGAGACUGGCGCAGCGCAGCACAGUAGAGAGAAGGGCAGAGACCGCGUGUCCUUGGAUGGUCAGUCGCCGGUCGCCGCGUGGGAGCAGCAGCAGUCUUCACGGAGUUUCCAGGAAGCCACACCUGACCCGCUGAGCACGGUCUCAACGGCUUGACCCUCGAAGGGCGGGUACCUCUCCUCACUCUUGUGGGCUUGUGGCGGCACGUCGGCGGCGGUGGCAGAGGUCAGUCUCCAAUCUCACUCUCUUCCCCCCUCUGUCCUGUGUCGCUGGGGAUCCAGCAGAAUGUGCGUGAGUGCGGCUAGGUAGGAACGCGGUGGUUCGGUGGAUUUGGGGUAACAGGAGUCCGGCGGAUCUUGGCUGGGGGCGCGCCGGUGCGGUAGAUUUAGGGGCGCGGCGGUCCAGCCAAGUGGAAUCAGCCGCGUGAAGGCAGAGGGGAAGCAGGCGCAACGACCUGAACGCUGUGUGUGUGUGCGUGCGGACGGCGUGCUGCCGUGCCCGCUUGCGUGUGUGUUGCCGGCGUGCGUGACGCUUGCUGUGUGUGUGUGCUGCCGGCGUGCGUGUGUGUUGCAGACGCUGUGUCCUUGCGUCUUCCCAGUUUGUACUGUACUGACCUGUUCCAUCUCCAUUGCAGAAGUUUGACGGCAACAAAGGAGCCAUCCAUCCUUCGAGCCUGGCUCUUUGUGAAGGCUGCCAUGGCGCUGUGGACAGGGCUGGGUCAGGCGGCGACCGUGGCGCAGCUGGUCGGCGCGGACGUCGGGGGCCUCAUCUCCAUGAUCGUGCAGGCCGCGAUGACGGCCCGGCAGAACAGGUCCGAGUGCGAGCAGCUCGCGCGUCGGGCCCUCAUGAUCGCGCAGCUGCUGCCGCACGUGCAGGAGCCAGAGGCGGCGCAGCCGCUGGCCGGGCUGGGUGACACGCUCCGGGACGCCCACGAGCUCGUCGUGUCGUGCCAAGGGAGGAGCGCGGCGUAUCAGUUCAUCAUGGCUGGCAGGACAGCCGAAAAGUUCAGGGAGGUGCAGAGCAAGAUAGACUCCUACCUCAUCCUCUUCCCGGUGAUCAGCCACAUCGGCAUCACACGCCGCCUUGAGAGAAUCUACAAUGUCCUCGUCCCAGAUGACUCCACUAGAGAUGAACCGUCUUCAUUUCCACAGUCGUUGCAGCUGGAGGUAAAUUGAUCGUGCGGCUCCCUGACAAGACAAAACAGAAAUUUAUACAGUUAGGGAGCACACGCUCUCACUGCUCAUUUAUGGUAUCAUUUGUUGUGGUCUCUUUUUCAGGAGUCUACAGAGCUUGCUCAGGAGGUACUGCCGCACGGAACCCAGGAAUUCACGUUGGCGGAGAUCGUGGCUGCCACCAAUAACUUCGCCCCUAACACCGUGAUCGGUGAAGGCGGGUCCGGAAAGGUGUACAUGGGCAGGCUUUACGAUGGGCGAGCGGUGGCCAUCAAGAGCUUAAACAACUCGCAGUCGCAAUAUUUAGAGGAGUUUUGCACGGAGCUCGACAUCCUAUCACGGCUCCGGCACAAACACAUCAUCAGCCUCCUUGGAUCGUGUGUGACUGUGAGCAAGCCCAAGCGUCUGCUAGCCACCCCGCAAAAGAAAAAAAAGCGCCAGCUGACCUGGUGGAGAAAGGAGCCAGAAGAACCCGAAGAGUUGGAAGAGCUACAGAGGUUCAUUGUCUACGAGUACAUGGAGAACGGUACGCUCUUCGACCAGAUGCAUUCUGAUCAUGGCCCCUCCACGAUGUCGCCGGUGACGGGGUCCUGGAAGAUGCGCAUCGCUGUGCUCCUCGGCGUGUCACGCGCCAUCGAGCACUUACACUGUCAUGCCAACCCGCCAAUCAUCCACCGGGACAUCAAAUCGGCUAACAUCCUUUUUGACGCCAAUUGGGUGCCGCGUGUGUCAGACUUUGGCUUGUCGGUCGUCUGGGACAUUGCAAGUGAGGAGUCGGAAUUGAAAGUCGACCGGGUUGUAGGCACAUUUGGGUACUUCGCCCCUGAGUACGCCUUUUAUGGUCUUCUGAAGCCGGCAAGCGACGUGUACAGCCUGGGCGUGGUGAUGCUCGAGGUUCUGACAGGGAAAAGUGCAUAUUCUUUUUUUAUGAAUGAUGGGACAAAUGUACCUUUGACAGACUUCGCACUCCCCAUCAUUGAAGUCGGUAAUAUUGAGGAGUUGUUAGACAGGCGACCUGUACCGGAGCCAACGCCUUGGCAGCUGCAGGCGAUGAAACGUGUGGCGCAGAUUGCAUGCUGUUGCGGGAAGUUGGAUGCGAAGGACCGGCCGGCCAUAUCAGACAUCGUUGCCAACCUCGAGAUGGCGUACGAGUUGAUCUGCAGAGAUGAGCACGGUUCAGUUGACGAGCCAUGUUUGUGGCCCUUCGUCGAACAAGUUGACCUCCCAUCGGACUCACCACACUCCAGGAGCUCGUCAUGGGCAGGCUACCAUUCCGAGCUGGUAUACACUACAAACUAAUAAUUGAACUCUGUUCACAUAAAUUCAACCAUGUUCAUACGGUGAUGAAGGGGGCUCACUACUCACUUUGUGGUCUCUUAAUUAGGAAUCUGAGGUGCUGGAGGAGGGGCGUUGACAACAAUCGUUGAAGGCGUCCUCAGAAGGUGGUUCUCUUAAUACACUGAUGAAGGAGCAUUAUAACGCUUGUUGUUGCUGGCAGUUUUGGAAGAGCUUGGGAUGGACCUCCCAGUGUAGUUUCAGUUGGCUUCCUCACCACCCACCCUACUAUGCUUUCCCCAGCAGUUUAUUAGGAAAGGAACACACCCGCUUGAUGGUCACCACCUCACUUUGUUUUUUUUUUUUUUUUGCCUUGAGUUGCACAUAGUCACAGUAGUCCCACUUUGUUUGUGUAGCUUCUCUUUCAAAGCCAUUCAUACUGUAGCAGGCUCCGCAACGGGUCACAGGUGACCGUCAUGUGUUUCAAUCACCCGAUGAGCAUCCCGUUACUGCACAUAGGUAAUGCCCGCUUUUGGUAAAUCAAUGGGCGCUUGUUAGCUUCUUCACAACCAAUCCCACUAUAGUUUGCUUCUUCACAACCAACCCUACUUUGAUUUUCCCAGUGGCUUCUUAGGAAAGGAACAUGGGGUUGAUGGUAAGCACUGACUCUGUUUUUUCAGCACUUUCUUUUUGUAAUAUACUCCCUCCGUCCUUUUAGAGAUUUCAACACUGAUUACAUACGGAUGUAUAUAGACAUAUUUUAGAGUGUAGAUUCACUCAUCUUGCUUCGUAUGUAGUCCGUGUUGGAAUCUCUAAAGGGACUUAUAUUUAGGAACGGAGGGCCUGGAUUUGUUGAUUGAGUAUUUAAUUAGCUCUCUAGUUCGUUUGUUGGAUUUUUUUUUUCUGAAUUUCGGAGCCUGGAUCCAUUUGUACAACGUGAUGCUGAUCCAAUCCGAAAUAGCCAAACCUAUGUUUAACUCAUUUGGAAAUACAUGUGAGUGAAAUGUUCCAUCGAUGUCGUGGCUGGGGCCACUCAUGCAGAGGUUGGAGAACGGCUGAGGUCUUUCUUCCUCUCAAUGCAAGCAGUUUCUUUAGGAAAGAGAAAUGAUGAUGUCCAACUAUAUAUGUCGCUCUAGUUUAGAGAAGUCUGCUGUAGGAUGCACUGCGCAUGGAUUGAUUGAUGCUGGCAGUUUGGCCUGCUUUUGCCUUGGUUUUUCGCUGAGUUGCAGUUUUGUGUGCUGAAACCAUAAUGCAGAGUUAGCUGCGGCUGAAAACCUGGAGGUAGAGUUCCCCUUGAACUGUUUUUGGGUCAGGUUGUCUUGUCGGUUCAACGGUAUUUUCAUAUAUUAAUUAAAUAGAGUACGUGUAUACAAAUGAAGCAAGAUGCAAGAAUGGUUUAUCCAGUACCAGCCCUAGGUAACAUAUAAAUAUCAGAGUAAGAGAUCACAAAAAAGAGACACAAGCGUAACAGAUGGGUGUCAAGCCACUCGUUUAGACAGUCUGCAUUUUUGCCUUUAAUUCUAUGUCCCGGAAGGAUCAGAUCCUGCUUCGUUUCUUCCCCCGGUUUGUUAAAGAAACACAUUGGGUUGAUAAUCACCAUUGGAAUUUGUUUGUUUUAGCCCUUUUCUUGUGGUAGUUACUCUGUUUCUAGCCUAUGUCUCUUUUCGGUAAUUACUUUCCUUUUUUUUAAUCCUGGAUUUGCGCAUGUCAUGGGCACGGCACAGCACAGCACAGCAGGCCCACUUUGUUUGUGUAGUUUCUCUUUCAAAGUCAUUCAUGUGGUAGGCCCCAUCCUAGAUCGUUGAUAUUUCGUUAUAUUCAUCAUGGGAAGUCGGGAUUUUAGAUUAAAAUUUGAUUUUCGGAUCUAGUAUAAAUUUAGUGUGUCCGUGUGAUGGUAUAGCUAUGUCGCUGUAAGGUAGUGUGGCCGUAGUUUAGAAGCCUGAUAUAGUGUACUGUGUAUCAGUGUAUGGGUCGAUGUUGGCUGGGCAGUUUGUCCCGUUUUCUGUUUCUUUGUAGAGCUGCAGUUUUGUAUGCUGAAAGCCUGAAACUCAGAAACUGUAAUAAUUAGGUCGGAUCGGCAGGUCUUCGGGCACAGUUGGGUGCGGCAGAAAGCCUGGAGUAGAGUUCCCCUUGAACUGUUUAUGGAUCUGCUUAUCUUAUCAAUUUCAGUUGAAAUGAAUUAGGGGACUGAUGCUCCUUAAUUUUAUCGAAGUAAAAAAGAUUCAAAACUGUGCUGGUGUGAGAAGAAACGAGUAAACGACCAUAGGACUUCGCGAUGUUAAGACUUAAUUGCUGGCCCAAGAAGUAAUACUUGCAGAUUUAUUAUUUGAAAUGAAGAGAGAAAAGUGUAUGUGGAGCCUUUUUUGGGCCCUAGUGUUACAUUCUCUCUACUGAAGAAGUUAUAUUUUUUUCCCGAAAAGGGGCACUUUAUUACUUAAAAGAUUUAAGCAUUACACCCGGUCUCUGCAUAACUAAGAUGCACACGGCCAAGAAGAAGUUAUAUUUAGCUAGGGCUUGAACAUGGGUGGCCUUCUCCCUUUGGUAGCCUGCUCGAAACCAUAGGCCAUCUCAAUCAGCCUUGGCCCAUAACCUUGCAGCCUUUUCGAUGUCAGUUGGGUGCCGCAUGUUUUGGUCUCCUUUGGUUUGUAGGAAUUUUGUAGGAACUCUAUAGGAUAGGAUUUGCAAAGGAAAAAUUCCUUUAAAGCCCUUUGGUUUAUAGGAAUGGAUUCCUAUUCCUAUGUAGGAUAAGAAUCAACCCUUCACAUUUUGGAGGAAAAAAAACAUUAGGCUAGACUCAAUGGAAAAAUUCCUAUCCAAUGUACCAAAUAACAUCUCUUUCUCUAUAAAAAUCAGGAUGUAUGUCAUCUCACUUCCUAUAAUUUUUCUAUUCCUAUAAAAUUUCUAUCCUAUGAACCAAAGGAGGCCUUCAGCUUUUGGCUUAUCGGUCGUCAGGGACAUGGCGAGUGAGGUGUCGUGGUUGGGAUGUCAUUGUUAGAGGCACAAUUGGGUACAUCGACCUUGAGUACCUCCACACAGGUCAUCUAAAGCCAGCGAGUGACCGGUGACGUGUACCGGGGAAAAAGGCAUUCUCCUUCGCACUUCCCAUCAUGGAGGCUGGUAAUAUGGAGGAGAUGCUAAACAGGCGAUCUGUACGGGAGCCAACGCCAUGGCAGUUGCAUGGAAAUUGCAUGGGGACGACCAGCCAGCCAUAACGGACAUAGUUGCCAACCUUGAGAUUGCGCACGAGUUAAUUUGCAGAGACCAGCCAGGUUGAGUUGACGAGUCGCCACAUUUUUCGACAAAGGAUGGAUUUUAUUAACUCAGAAUAAAGCAUCAAGACGAUCCAUACAUAAAGAGCACACAUGCCAACGGCGUGUCAUCGGCAGGCUACCAGUCCAGUCUGGUAGUACACCAGAAACUGAUUGAACUCUGUUACAUUAAUGAAUGAUAUCAUGUUCAAACAGUAUGGCCGAAACAGGAUGGCCGAAAGGUUCAGGAAGGUGCAAAGCAAGAUCAACUCCUACCUCAUUGUCUUUCCCGUGAUCAGCCACAUCGGCAUCACACGCCGCCUUGAACGAAUCUACAAUGUCCUUGUCCCAAAUAACUCUACCAGAGUUGAACUGUCUCCACUUUCCGGCAGGUAUGUACAACUUCAAUACUUUUUUUUUAAAAAGAGGGGACUCCCCAGCCUCUGCAUCAAAACGAUGCAUACAACCACCUUUAUAGAUAAAUAAAAAGGUUCAACAAGGUCUUACGGUCUCAAAUCAAAGUAAAGGCAAGCUCAUGAAGAGCCACAACGCCAAACACAAAUGCCAAGAGGCCACAACCGGCUAGCAUAACAAAGAUAGGUAAACCAAUCGCCUAUCCUAUUACAUGACCGCCAGCCAAACCGGUUGAAGAUAUCCCGAGCUAUCAUCUCCCAGCGGAUAGAUCCAGUAACCAAACGCUCCCUGGCCUCCGUCCGAGUGAGUAACAACCACAUACGGAUCAGCGCAGUGGCAUGGAAAAUAACCCGUAAAAAUGAAUAUUUGUUGUUUUGUUAAAAGCCAAAUCAUUUCUGCAGUUCCAAAUCGCCCACAACAAAGCACAUACUCCUACGCGAAUGUGUCUAGCUGUUUCGGACUCUAUCCCAACAAGCCACGCUCCAAAUAACGUACUGACAGAAUUCGGAGGAGAAAUGUUAAAGGCAAUGUGCACCGUGUGCCACAACACUUUGGCCAACGGGCAAUCAAAGAAUAAGUGCUUGAUAGUUUCAUCCCGAUCACAGAAACUACACCUAGUAGAUCCUGUCCAGUUGCGCUUUACCAAGUUAUCCUUUGUUAGAAUGACUUGUUUAUGCACAAACCACAUAAACACUUUAAUUUUCAAAGAAACUUUGACUUUCCAAACAUAUUUGGAACUAGGAAUGGCACUAGAGUUAAUGACAUCGAUAUACAUCGAUUUAACUGUGAACUCUUCAUACCUAGUAAGUUUCCAGCACAACUGAUCAGACUGAUGAGAUAGCUGAACCUCCAUCAGUCUACUCACCAAAUGGAGCCACGCUUCCCACUGGUUGCCAACAAGCGUCCUCCUAAACUGAAUAUUAAGGGGAAUGGACUGCAAAAUCGUUGCAACAAAAGCAUCACGUCAUUGAACAAUACUAUACAGGGACGGAUACUGAAGCGCCAGCGGCGUUUCACCAAGCCAAGUAUCCUCCCAGAAGCGAAUGGUGGUGCCAUUACCGACUAUAAACUUUGUCCUAUUAAAGAAGGCUGUUUUGACUCUCAUAAGUCCCUUCCAAAAAGGCGAGUCAGUCGGUCUCACUGUCACCUGGGACAAAGUCUUGGACUGCAGAUACUUACUACGUAGAAUCUGCGCCCACGUGGCCUCAGUUUCACCUGAUAAUUUAUACAGCCACUUACUGAGAAGACAUCUGUUUUUGACUUCAAGAUUCUCAAUACCAAGGCCCCCCUGGUCCUUUGGUCGACAGAUGAUAUCCCAUUUGGCAAGUCUGUAUUUUCUCUUUAGUUCAUCACUUUGCCAGAAGAAUCGGGAUCGAUAGAAGUCCAGCCUUUUCCUAACACCAACUGGGACUUCGAAAAAAGAUAAGAGAAACAUUGGCAUACUCGUGAGCACCGAAUUAAUCAGAAUCAAUCGGCCUCCAUAUGACAUGAGUUUGCCGUUCCAGCAACUCAAUUUCUUCUCAAACCGAUCCUCGAUAUACUUCCAUUCUCUGUUUGUCAGCUUACGAUGGUGAAUGGGUAUACCUAAGUACGAGAAAGGUAAUGUCCCCAAUUCAUAUCCAAACAAUUGCCGAUAAGCCUCUUGUUCCUCCUUGGCUCUACCAAAACAGAACAACUCGCUUUUAUGAAAGUUAAUCUUCAAUCUGGUCAAUUGUUCAAAUAAGCAUAACACCAUCUUCAUAUUUCUCUCUUUUGCCAAGUCGUGCUUCAUAAAGAUGAUCGUAUCAUCAGCGUACUGCAAGAUGGACACACCUCCAUCAACUAGAUGAGGCACCAAGCCACCCACCUGACCGGCCUCCUUUGCCCUGCCUAUCAGAAUUGCCAACAUAUCAAUCACAAUGUUGAACAGAAUAGGAGACAUUGGAUAACCUUGUCUUAGGCCCUUGUGUGUCUAGAAAUAAUGACCUAUGUCAUCAUUCACUUUAAUUUCAACACUCCCUUUUUGCGUGAAAGAUUGUACCUGGCGUCGCCAGGCUUCAUCGAAACCCUUCAUGCGUAAGGCCUGUUGAAGGAAAGGCCAUUUGACUUUAUCGUACGUUUUCUCGAAAUCCACCUUGAAAACAACUCCAUCUAGUUUUUUCGUGUGGAUCUCGUGGAGCGUUUCAUGAAGGACCACAACCCCUUCUAGGAUGUUCCUGUCCGGCAUGAAAGAAGUUUGGGUAUGCUGCACCACAAAAUGCGCAAUCUGCGUGAGCCUAUUAGUCCCGACCUUGGUAAAAUUUUUCAAACUAACAUUACGAAGACAGAUGGGCCUGAAUUGCUCAAUUCUCACAACCUCUGUUUUCUUAGGAAGCAGGGUUAUCGUUCCAAAAUUGAGUUGAAAAAGCUGAAGGUGUCCAGUGAAUAAAUCAUGGAACAAAGGCAACAAAUCCCCCUUAAUAAUAUGCCAGCACUUCUUAUAGAAUUCGGCCGGGAAUCCAUCCGGGCCGGGAGCCUUAUUGUUUUUCAUCUGCGAUAUGGCCUCAAACACCUCUUUCUCAGAAAAAGGAGCAGCCAGAAUAUCAUUCUCAACAGCAGUAAGUUGAGGAACAUCCUCAAUCCUAGACUCAUCCAGAGAAACACAGUUAUCCUCUGAAGGCCCAAACAACUGCUUGUAAUACUCGGUAAUGUAUAAUUUUAGGUUCUCCUGUCCUAAAAUCGUACUUUCGUCUUGUUCAAGCUGAAAGAUCCUCUUCUUUCUAUGUUUGUCAUUAGCGAUCAUGUGAAAGAAUUGAGUGUUCACGUCCUCUUGGACUACUUGCCGGACCUUGGCCCGCAGCGCCCACUUUAAUUCCUCUUCACGAAGAAACUCUUUCAAUCUCAUCUCUGCGUCAAGCUUGGCAUGAAGCUCCGAGGCCGGCAGAACCGUGGUUUCUGCUUUUACAUCUAGGGACUGAAUAAGGGCAAGGAGUCGUUCCUUUUCGACCUUAUAAAUCCCACUAAGAUGCUUAGCCCACCCACGUAGGAAACUUCUCAAGUGCCUGAUCUUAUUCUGCCAACGCUCAAGCGCAGUCCUACCUCCUGCAUCCUUAGCCCAUUCUCUGGCUACGAGACCAAAGAAGCUAUCUCGUUCAAACCAAGCAAGCUCGAACAGAAACGAGUUCUUGUUUCUCAAGUGGGUGGCCUCACCAAAAUCUAGAAAUAAAGGCGUGUGGUCAGAAAUACCGCGGGAAAGUGCCUGAACUGUUACGAAGGGAAACUUUUAUUCCCAUUCGACGCUAGCCAGCACUCGAUCCAACUUUUCAAACGUUGGAUUUGGCAAUGCGUUAGCCCAGGUGAACUCUCUCCCCGAAAGUUCUAUCUCUCUUAGAUCCAAGCUUUCAAUGAUGGUAUUAAACAUGAACGACCAUCUCCCGACAAAGAUAUCAUUGUUCUUCUCCUCACGCCUUCUGAUGAUGUUGAAAUCAACCCCCACCAGGAUUGGAAGCUGCUCAGAGCCGCAAAUCCUAACCAGAUCAGCCAAGAACUCAGGUUUGAGUUCGGGCUGUGCGGCACCAUAUACCGCCACCAGAGCCCAGUUAAACCCAUCGGCCUUCGACCGCACCCGAAACUUAACUGCAAAGUCUCCCAUCACCACACUUCGGACUUCAAGCGAAUCACAUCUAACUCCGAGUAAGAUGCCACCCGAUCCCCCUCUCGACGGCAGACAAUGCCAGUCAAAAUCAAUACCUCCCGAUAAAGUAUUUAGAAAUUGUGGCGAAAAAUUGUCUCUACCAGUUUCCGACAAUGCGAUAAAAUCCAACCUAUGCUCGAUAGACGCCUAUGCAAGAAACCUUCUUUUAGCCAAGUCUCUCAGACCUCUGCUAUUCCAAAAGAUUCCUUUCAUACUUUGUCAUGAAAUUUUUUAGCCGUACGGGUCCUAGCACUCCUACGCACUGCGGAAGCCGGGUAGAUCUUCCGCUUCCACUUGCGUUUAGGAAUGUUGUGACUCUCCAGCCGGUCCUCACCACCAGGCUCAGAAGGUCUAACCACAACAUUCUCAGAUGUAUCAUCCUCCUCCUCAGACUCAGGUAGGGGAGGUACAAGAUCCGCACAAAAAUUAUCGAGCACCCUGAUCCCUAAAGCAUCAAAAUCAGAAUCAUUCAUGGGUUUAACCGCUGCUAAGUUACGAAUCAUCUCUAAAGCCUGCUCUGCCUCUAGAUCCAAGAUAUCAUUAACGGAAUUUGAAAUUUCACUAUCAGUGAAACUCCUAAUUGAUUUGCAUUAUAAAUAAUCUCCUCAUUAAAAAAAUGCAAGAUAAAAUUAGAGGUAUUAACCGACAUACCAGUAGUUCCAUGAUGAAGAGUAAUUGCACAGAGGUGUACAGAGGUGGCACAAGGGGUACUGCCACACGAAACCCAGGAAUUCACGUUGGUGGAGAUCAUGCUGCCACCAUGACGCUGUGGACAGGGCUGGGUCAGGCAGCGGCGAUGGCGCAGCUCUUCGGCGCGGACGUCGGCGGGCUCAUCUCCAUGAUCGUGCAGGCCGCGAUGACGGCUCGUCAGAACAGGAGUGAGUGCAAGCAGCUCGCUCGUCGGGUCCUCGUGAUCGCGCAGCUGCUGCCACACGUGCAGGAACCAGAGGUGGCGCAGCCGCUGACCGGGCUGGGCGACACGCUGUGGGACGCCCAUGAGCUUGUCAUGUCAUGCCAGGGGAGGAGUGCGGCGUACCAAUUCGUCAUGGCCGCCUGGACGGCCGAGAGGUUCAAGGAGGUGCAGAGCAAGAUCGACUCCUAAGUCCUACCUCAUCCUCUUCCCGGUGAUCAGCCACAUCGGCUUAACACGGCGCCUUGAACGAAUCUACAACGUCCUCGUACAAGGUGAAUCCGUGAGGGGUGAACCGCCGCAUUCACUUCCAAACUCGUCCCAGCUGCUGCAGGUAUGUGUCAACUUUAAUAGAAAUUGAACGCCGGUUCCAGAGAAAUAUGAUGUAGAUCUUUUUUCUUAAAUACGCACGAGUGUGCGUAUCAUAUCUUAUAGAAAGGGGAGGGUGAAGAACCCAAAUCACCAUCGAUGUUACAGCGUGUUAGACACUACAACAUCGGCACUCUACAUUGGGUUUACAUAAUGAAUCACUCGCGUCUCGCCCACCCUAUUAACAACUCAAACACGGUAUCUAAUUCUGCCUUUAACAGAUGCGCCUGCUGCCACGCUCUACCCUUGGCCACUAUCCUCGUGACUACCACCUCUAAAGACGGAGAAGAGAAGUGCCAUCGAAGACUACCGCGUUCCUAUGCUUCCAAAGCUCCCAUAGCACGAGAGUGAAGAUUGUUCUUACUUGCUUAGGCUUGUUCACCCCUGCCGAUCUCUCCACGCACCAUUUCUUCGGUGUGUCUUGUGCCGUAGGCGUCCAUUCCUGCUUGCCCAAUGCUGAACAAAGCGCUCUCCACACCGUUCUUGCGAACACACAUGCCACUGGAAUAUGAUCGAUGGUUUUCUUCUUCUUGAUCGCAGAAAGGGCACGUGUCAUGAUGAGGUAGUCCGCGCCGAGCGAGACGGUCGGACGUCCAACACCUAUUUCUCAUUGCCAGCCAGUUGAAGAAACGGCUUUGUAGCGGGGUUCUAUAUUUCCACGUAAAAUCCGCUGUUGGCACCACCUCCCUUCCGGCAAACAUGGCGGCAUAGGCGGAGCACACAGAAAAUUGCCCAUUAGUCUCCCAUGACCAAGUGACAGAAUCCGCGAGGCCUUGCUUUGUACCGGAGUGCACAGAAAAUGAUGUAGAAAUUGAUAAAUACGUGUUCCGGGACGACUAACGAAGGGAUACGUGCUCACUGCUCAUUUGUGGUCUCUUUCUCAAAAGUCUACGGUGAUGGCUCAGGAGGUACUGCCGCAUCCGACCCAGGAUUUCACGUUCGCUGAGAUGGUGGCUGCCACCAAUAACUUCGCCCUUGACACCGUGAUUGGUGAUGGCAACUCUGCAACCCCGUACAGGGGCAGGCUUCACGAUGGGCAAGUGGUGGCCAUGAAGCGCUUCAGGCAGACACAACGGGACUUCGAGCUAGAGCGAUUUGAGCCGGAGCUCCACAUUCCACGACGGCUCUGACACAAACUCAUUGUCCGCCUCCUUGGAUCGUGUGUGAGAAAGGAGAAGCGCCUGCUAACCAGGAGGAUAAAGGAGAUGGAGAGGCUGAUCAUCUUGGAGUACAUCGGGAAUCGUACACUUUUCGAGCACCUGCACCUUCAGCAAGGCUCCUCCCCCUGUAGCCGGUGAGGGAGUCCUGGAAGAUGCGCAUCGCUGUGCUCCUCGGCGUGCCACGCGCCAUCAAGCACCUGCACUGUCAUGCCAACCCCCCGAUCAUCCACCACGACAUUAAGUCUAGUAACAUACUUUUUUAUGCCAAUUGGGUUCCUCAUCUGUCCGACUUUGACAUUUCGGUGGCCUUUCACUUGGAGAGUGAGGAGUCGGAGUUGGAGACCUACGUUAUAGGCACAAUGGGGUACAUCGACCCUGAGUACGUGCACACAGGAAUUCUGAAGCCGACGAGCGACGUGUACAACCUGGGCGUGGUGAUGCUCGAGGUUCUGACAGGGAACAAGCCAUUUUUCCAAGGGGAGGAGGAGCUGGGUGUGAACGCAGAAUUGGCAUCCUUCGCGCUCCCCAUCAUUGAGGCCGGUAAUUUUAAAGAUCUGCUGGACAGGCGACCGGUGCCGGAGCUAACGGCAGGGCAGCUGCAAGCGCUGGAGCAUGUCGCGCAGACUGCAGGGUGCUGCGUGAAGUUGAAAGGGAAGGACCGUCCGGCCAUAUCAGACAUCGUGGCCAACCUGGAGAUGGCGCAUGAGUUGAUCUGCAGAGACGAGCCAGGUUUAGUUGACUAGUUACCAAACUCACCACGUGCCAGCAGUGUCUCAUCGGCAAGCUACAAUUCUGAUCUGGUACACUACAAUCUCACUGAACUCUGUUCACAUUAAUGAAUUCAAUCCUGUUCGUACACUGAUGAUGGGGCUCACUACUCAUUUUGUGUUCUCUUCCUUGAUUAGGGUUCUGAGGUGUUGGAAGAGGGCUUUGACACCAACCUUUGAAAGCUUCACGUCCAAGUCCAGUGCUCCAAUCACCCGAUCAGUGAUGCCCGCUUCUGGUAAUCUAUUGGUGCGGGCGGUUUAGGACAGAGCUUGGGACGGACACACCUCUGUAGUCUCGGUUUUGCUUCUUCACCCGAGCAAACAGGCCCACUUUGUUUGUGUAGAUUCUCUUUCAAGAACAUAAGGCAAAAUUCAUAGGGUAUAGGAGGCCCGUCCAAUAUCUGUGUUAUCUCGUUUUCUUUCGGAAGUUGCGAUUUUAGAUUAUAAUUUGAGGAGUUAGAUCUGGUAUCAAGUUGGUACUUUUGAUGUUGAUCUAACCCGGAAAAAGAAGGAUGAUGCUGUAUUUGGAGUAGCAGUGAUUGGUCUGGCGUAACGAUGAUAUUGUUGGAGUAGCAGUGAUCAUGGCAGUGCGUUGCCGGACUCUUACUCGGCAAUACUAGCAGGCAAGAGGGAUUUGGCACGCCCCUGCAUGCGUACGUGGACUGGGCUGUUUUGGUGUUCGUCGAGUGAGUUUCAUGUGAUAAGAACGACCGAGAUUAUGCUCCACGGUAGGCGAGCCGUGUCCUCUUUAGACGAUGGGAGGAGCUAUUCUGCCAUAUACGAUGAUUUUGUUCUGUUAGGAAGAGGUUAGGAAGAGGGAGGGAUUGAACAGCGUAUUUUGGUCCAUCGUACUCUUCGUUGAUGGAGUAUUUAACUCUCUAGUUCUGUGGUUAGAAUUUUUUUUUUUGCUGGAAUUUUGGAGCCUGGGUCUAUUUGCACACCGAGAGAUGCUGAUCCAAACCAAAAUAGCCAAACCUACAUUUAAUUCCUUCCCCGUGUACCUGCUGCUACGGCUGGGAAGUCGUGUCAUCCAAUCCUAAGGAUUAAAAAUACCCGCUCCGUUCCUAAAUAUAAAUCUUUUAAAAGAUUUCACUAUAAACUACAUAAGGAGCAAAGUGAGUGAACAUAUACUCUAAAAGAUGUCUAUGUACAUCCGAAUGUAGUCUCUAUAUAAUGAAACCACUAAAAAGACUUAUAUUUAAGAAUGGACGGAGUACAUGCGAGUGGAAAUGUGGAAUGUGAAGUGUUCCACUGGUCGAAGUCAUUGCUGCGUGCCGUUGGUGCUGAAGUUGGAGAAUAGCGGAAGGCCUUUUUUCCUCUCCGUGCAAACAGUUCCUUCACGGAAACAAAAUGAUAUCGCCGGUCAUGGGGUCCUGGAAGAUGCCCAUCGCUGUGCUCCUCGAGCUCAUGCACUGUCAUGCCAACCCCCGGAUCAUCAACUGGGACAUCAAGCCUAGGAACAUACUUUUUGAUGCCAAUUGGGUGCCACAUAUGUCCGACUUUGGCUUGUCGGUCGUCUGGGACAUGGCAAGUGAGGAGUCGGAGUUGAAAGUCGACCGGGUUGUAGGCACAUUUGAGUAUCUCGUGUAAAGUAGGGUCUAAUAUAUUGUCCUUGUACACGUAUUUGUAUACAUAUGUAAUUGUAAUUGUGAUCGUCUAUAUAUUGAGACGUGAGGCUGGAUGUCAACCACCCAUGCAAAACCUUAAACCUGUGUUUUAACUUGGUAUCAGAGCUACUUCACGUACGCGCUAGGAAUCCAUCCAGCUGCUUGCUAGCUAGCUUUGCCCGUACGCCGCCACCGCUUCCGAUCGCUGUUGCUCCGCGUGCCAUCUUCCGCGACCGCCGCCUCGGCUUGCUCCGCUGCCGCCGCGUGCUGUUCCAUCCGCGCCGUCGCUGCGACGUCGUCUGCCGCUAUGUCCGACGCCCAAACCGCCGGCGCCAUCGUCUCUUCCCCCGUCGCCUCGAUCCCCGCCGCGCUCGUCGUCCCGACGAUCUCCGUCCGCCUCGGUCGUCACAAUUUCAUGCUCUGGGGGGCAUCACCAGCAUCGUUCUUGCCGGUGCCAACCUCCACGAACACCUCGAUGGCACCAAGGCGGCACCGGCCAAAACACUCGUUGUCGGCACCGGCGACGCUGCUACCACCGUCGCCAACCCGGAGUAACACUGGACGAGCGCCAUCGAGGUCAGAGUCCCGUUGCUGAAUCCGAGCUGGAUGGCAUCUGGCCUCGUGGAACUCGAAGCCGUGUGCGACGCCGGCUCCGGCCACAGGAGCCGGGACGGUGGCAACAGCUUGCAGCUCCUGCGAAGCCAUGAUGUUAGCUUACCUUAGCUAAACGGUGGCAGUGGCACCGGGGUUGGUGUGGCUUGGCUUGUCUGCUCUUUGCUCUCUACUGUUUGGUCUCUUGCACGUGUGUGUUUGGGUAUUUUCAUGGCGGCCGCCUUUAGCAUUGUUCGGGUGCCCCAUGCCGAUGUCUUUUCCUGUCCGUUUGUCUACUUUUCAGAUGCUGCAUUAUCUUAAACAGAUGCCCCACAAGUGGGAAUCUUAUAUGAAGAAAAGAGAGGUGGAAGUUCUUUUUCUAUUUCUUCGCCGUUUAAGCGUAUGGGCAAAUACUCCAACAGGGGAAAAAAACUUGGUCGGGCGGCUGGCCCGAUUCAACACCCUCCCGCAUUCCCCGACCCUUCGCCUCAGCCCUCUAUCUUAUUACCGUCAGAAGGCGCCGCCCGGCAUGCGGCGGUGGCGGCAUAUCCAAGAUCUACUUGCAUCAGUUGGAGCUCAAACCUGCCCGUCCAAGCCCAAGUGGAAAAGAAAGGAUUUCGGUGCAGCAACAUGGGAGCUUUGAGAGGGCACUGAGGCCGAGAGAGUGAGCGGUGCCUUCAUGGUAUUGUAAUCUGGCGAACCUACCCCUUCUCUGUUCCCCUCCUCCUUGCUCUACUGUUCAUCUUCUUCCCCCAAAUCCCCCUUCUCCUACCUCAAAUCCUCCACAGAACCUUGUAUUCGGACUGUAAUGGCUUCCCGACGACGGAUCAAGUGAAGGAGGAGAUGGUGGCCUAGCUGCUGUAGUGGGUGAGGAUGCUACCAUCGUCGGUGGCGCCCGUGGGUGUCAUUUUCCUCGUUGGAGGCGAUGGUGGGGGCGUCCCUCGCUCCAUUAUUUUCGAGGGAAACAUCCGAUCUGGAGGAGGCUACGAUUGAUGGUGCCGCAGGUGGGCGUCGUAGCCCUCGUUGGAGGCAUUGAUGGGCCUCCUUGAUCGGAUGAUGGCGACGUCUUCGUCGCACCCCCGUGGGGGCAUCAUCUUUGAAGACAUUCAUCGGCUGGACGGACAUGUGGGCGGUUUGGUGGUUGGGCGUCAGUAGGUGGUGGAGCAGUGCUUCAUCCUACACAACGAUGGCGGCGGAUCUCGGCGGCGUGGCGCAGUGGAGACUCGGCGUCCGAUGGGUGGUGAUGUACUCGUGCAGGAGGACGAUGCUGUCUGGCGCCGUGGUUGCGCCGAUGACAGAGAGGUGUAGCAAGGUCUAUGCGUCAGUAUCUGAUCUGAGGAUGGCUCGAUGGAUGAAGGAGGUGGCGGCCCUUCCAGCGUGCGCAUGUGAUGCCCACUGAAUGUGCGUCGGACCGGUGUGUAAUCCAGUGCAGGUAUUGUGGCUUGGAUGGGGCAUCCGGCCUUAGAUGUUAGGUGUUGGUGCGAUGUCUGUUUGGUAUUAGGCUCGGACAUUCGGCACCCCUUCUUCACGGUGAUAGGAGUAGCGACAGGUAUUGUCAAGAUGGUGGCUUCAGGCUUACCGAUGUAUUACCUUGUAAGGGCUUUAUGAAUAAUUAAUCAAAUGGAUACAUGCAUCGCCCAGAUGCAAAGGCCGGAGGUACAUUUUUCUUUUCAGAAAAAAAGCACUUCUCCGUUACUCUCUGUCUCUUUGUUCUCAUGAACGACUUGUGCAUCAUCAAAUUCUUGCAGCAUCGAUUUGAUGUCGCUCAUUUCGUUCUGUUUGUUCCCCUAUAGGUCUCACGUUGGUGAGACUGGAAACAAUAGAUUUCAGCUUUUUUUUUUAAAAAUGUGAGACCAUCCACAUAAUACCUGUCCCGUGGAAGCAUCUCCAUAAUUCUACCAUAAACACUAAGACCGUGUGAAUGCAGUCAACCACUGCCCCUCCAAAAGCGCACUCGGCAGGCACAGCCGUCCCCUUCAUCAGCAGGCACAGGCAACCUCACGAGGCGACGAGGAUUUGGUAGGAGGGGGCGCGAGAGACGAGGUUCCCCUGUCCAGCAUACGGGAAUUCUCAAAGCAGGAUCCUUGUAUUCCAAAAGCUCUACAAUUCUUCGAUAUCUUUGAAUCCGGCCACCACCCAGUGAAACCAUGGAUCCUUCUAAUCUACAACAAAGAAUAGANNNNNNNNNNNNNNNNNNNNNNNNNNNNNNNNNNNNNNNNNNNNNNNNNNNNNNNNNNNNNNNNNNNNNNNNNNNNNNNNNNNNNNNNNNNNNNNNNNNNNNNNNNNNNNNNNNNNNNNNNNNNNNNNNNNNNNNNNNNNNNNNNNNNNNNNNNNNNNNNNNNNNNNNNNNNNNNNNNNNNNNNNNNNNNNNNNNNNNNNNNNNNNNNNNNNNNNNNNNNNNNNNNNNNNNNNNNNNNNNNNNNNNNNNNNNNNNNNNNNNNNNNNNNNNNNNNNNNNNNNNNNNNNNNNNNNNNNNNNNNNNNNNNNNNNNNNNNNUUAAUGUGACUCAAGGCGAGAUAUAUCCUGGUAUUAGUUGAAGCCUUCGCUAAAAAAAAUAACCGCUUACACACAAGGCGAGAUAUAUCCUGGUAUUCGUUGGUGGUAAAAAUAUUAUACGAAAUCAGGAUCCUCGUAUUCAUUUGCUUUUGCAUCCAAAAAUUUCCACUAAAGCUUCGAUAAUACUCAUGGUUACAAUUGCCAUAUCAGAACCUGUUCCAUCGCCCCUUUUGAACCCCCGGAAGAACUGUUCCAUAGUUGAUUCACAGGUCACAACAGCAUAAAGAGUAGUAUUAUUCAUUCAUUUUUUAAACAUGCAGCGAGCGGCAACUUGUUCAAACACAAUAUAGUUAGGGAGUACAAGUCAGGAGCACAUAUUAUAUAGACGCAUUUAAUAGCGUGGGAUGAUGGUGGCCGGAGACAAUAAUAUCAAAGUACGAUCAUCACAGGGUAACAAUAUAGCUAGGGAGUACAAGUCAGGAGCACAAACAGUAUUAUAUAGAGGCAUUUUCUAGCUCUAAAUGAUCUUCAGUUGGAGAUGGUCUUAUCGUGCAGAGAUUUCACCCCAGGAGAUCGAGUCAUCGUCCGGUGCACCGUGGCAGAUCCUUUUUUUUUUUGAGAUCAGAUCCCCAUGAUUCAAUAGGUCACCGCCGUGUUGCCUCAGCCGCGCCCGCUACGGUACCUAAUCGUCACACAGGGGUGCCGGAUCGAGUAAAGUCUGUUUUAAACCUUAAAUUCAUAAAGCUCGUCCAAAUCGAACCCCCACGUCUGAAUCCCUGAAAUCUGUACCCUAACCUCCGGGAUCCCGGUCAAUAUCAACCCUACAUCCAUCCUAGUCCUGUUUGUGGCACUGAAAAAAAAGCAAUCCUGACCGGGAUUACUAGGUUCUCUCACUUACUCAGCGGCCCUACACAUCGUAUCCAUCUUCUUCCCUGCUACUCUUGCGUCGAGCUGCCCGAGCAACGAUGUUCACCACAGCAUGCCCCAACUUCUCCCGUGUGUGUCAUGCCAUUGGUCAGGUGUGCGUGCCGGUCCAGCCUGUGUCGUGCCGCUGGCCAUUUGCAUAGGGAGCGUUGCUACGCAGACGACGAUGCGCGGACGAUUUGUGCACGACGCUGCACAUCAGGCCGUCCAUGUAUAUCAUCGAAGUCCAGUGGACGGCUGGAUGUGGCAUCGUCCAACUGUCGUGCGAUCGAUCCAUCGUCUGCACAGCAUUUUCGCGCGUCCAAUGAACGGCAGCUCUCAGUCGCCCGCCUUGCUCCACGUGCCGGUCAACAUGUUCAGAGCGUGUUUUUCCUCGAGUUCCGCCAGUACAGAUCCAUCAAGCUAGUGGCGUGUAAGUUGCUAUGUACGUGAGCUAGCUUCUGAAAAAUCCAUCCACCUGCUUGCCUACUUCAAAAAUUCAAAGCCAACCUCUACGUGAAAGCACCCUGCCUAACCCGCCGCAUCGUUCGAGUCAGCAAUGCAUCAUACUGAGUGAAUUGCACGUACCGUCCUGGUACUGGUGGGUUAGGUCCAAAACAGUCCUGGAGCUCGCUAACUGCCUCGCUACGAUCCUGCUACUCGCGAAAUAGGUCCAUCGACGGUCCUGGGCCGGCUCACUGUACGUAUGCGUGCACUCAAUUAAAAAAAGGCACGUAUCCAGCCACGUAAGCACAGCCAGACGAGGGCCGAAUCAGUUCUUUGCAAUGCGGCCCCUCCCUUUCAGUACAAACCUGCCCGCAUUACAGCCUUCGAACUGGGAUGAACAGGGCGGUGGCGGUUGAGAUCGGCAGCGAUCGGCGGCGACGCAACGAUCAUUGAGGGAGAGUGAAGGAGGUGAUCGGAGACGGUGGCGACGACAUAUCAACUGUGCGUCGUCACCGGCGGUGAUGGCUCCCGUCCAGCGGCACAACAGGGGUCCCGUACCCAAAUACGGUGUGUUUGAUUCAUCCCAUUACUUCUUCUUUAGAGUUGUGAGUAGGGGAAUUAUGUUGAUUUCGAUCGUUGGAAUUCUUCUGGUCAUCAGUUUAGUUCAAUUCGGCACUGAUUUGCUUAGGGUUUGGACACAACCGUAGGGUUUUUGUAUGGAUGAACUGAAAAAUUGAAUUUCCUUUUUUGUGUUUGACACCACAAGAGACUGAUUACUUCACUAUGGAGUUCAUUUAUGAUGGAGUUUUCAUGGGGACAGGAGGCAAUAGGUCCUAUGUUAAUGGUAGGAAGGUUUCAUAUGAUUACUGUGAAGCUGAUGUAAUAUGUAUGGCCAUGUUUGGCGAUUUAAUUAAGGCAUUGGGUUAUGAAAGAAGGGGCAGAAUUAACAUAUACUUUUUGCUGCCCGGUAUGCAAAUCAAUGAAGAUGGUCUGCGGUUGUUAUCAAAGGACAGCGACACAACGUGCAUCAGGGCUAUGGUUAGAGAGGGACAUAGGUUUCUCAUGUUUUAUCUUGUGCAUGAUGAUAAAAUUGCUGCAGAAACACAGGAUGAUGUUAUUGCAAACCCCACCACUGAGUUGCCCAAUGUUAUCAGCCCUAUGAAUUGCGGUACAGACCAGGAGCAUGAGAGUGUUUUGGAGCAGAGCAUUGUGUCACCUAGUCAUGCUGAUGAGAGUAGAAUAGAAGGGACGAGUACAUGCAAAGGGAGAGGAAAAGCAAAGGAAGAAGAUGAUGUGUGUAGUGAUGAUGAAUCAUGUGACUCUGAUUACGUUGCAUCACUAGUAGACAGUGACUAUGAUCUAGAGGAUGGUGAUGCUGAUUUGUUCAUUGAUAGGAAGCAGAAUGGUGCAGAGAAGGAAUGCAAAGGGAAAAGUAAAGAAAUUGUAGAAGAUGACAUUUCUGAAGAUGAUAAACUGGAGCUUCCAGAUUCAGAUGAAGAAGACAUGAAAUUCAAUUUCAAGCAUUUUACAGAUGCAGAUAUGAAUGCGCCCAAGUUUCAUUUGGGUCAGGUCUUCACAUCUAUUGAUCAGUUGAGGAAAGCAAUUAGGGAGUACAGUUGCAAGGAGAGGUUGAACAUAACCUUUCCGAAGAAUGACAAAACUAGGCUUGGAGCGAAAUGCAAUGAUGGAUGCCCUUGGUACUUGUAUGCAUCAUAUGACAACAGGACACAAUCCAUCAUGAUCAAGACAUUCAAAGAUGAACACACUUGCUGCAAAAAGUGGCAAGUAAAAGCUUUUACAGCCAGAUAUAUAGCUCAUAAGUAUGUGGAGAAGAUCAGAGCUGAUGAGAAGAUUACACUUCAGGGUUUUGGGUCACUAGUGCAACAAGAAUGGAACAUGAAAGUGAAGAGGGGAAAACAUGGGAGAGCUAGGAAAAUUGCACACAACAUAAUCUAUGGAGAUGAAAUUGCACAAUACAAUAAGUUAUGGGACUAUGGGCAUGAGUUGAGGAGAUCCAAUCCAGGCAUCACUUUCUUUGUUGAGCUUGCCGAUGAUGGUCAGUUUCAGAAAUGUUAUUUCUCAUUUGAUGCAUGCAAGAGGGGGUUUCUAUCUGCUUGUAGGCCAGUACUUUUUGUUGAUGGAACCCAUUUGAAGACCCAAUUUAGUGGCAUUCUCUUGACAGCUAUUGGAAUGGACCCCAAUGACUGCAUCUUUCCAAUAGCUUUUGGUGUUGUUGAAGUUGAGAAUACAAAAAGUUGGAGGUGGUUCUUGACUGCAUUGAAAGAAGACCUAGGCAUUGUCAACACCUCCCGAUGGAGCAUUAUGUCAGACAAGCAGAAAGUAAGAUCAUAUGUCUCAUGUAUUUUGUUCAUGCAUCUUAUUUUUCAAAUCAAUUCGGCAUGCUUACAUUGCUUUAUCUCAACCAGGGAUUAAUUAGGGCUGUUAAGGAACUGUUUAGUGACUCAGAGUACAGAUUUUGUGUUAGGCAUUUGUGGCAGAAUUUCACAAAAAACUUUAAAGGUGAAAUCUUGAAGAACCAACUAUGGAGAUGCGCAAGAAGUACUACAACAGGUCAAUUUAGGGCCAACAUGGACCAUAUGUUGAUUUUAAAUAAAGAAGCUCAUGACUGAUUGGAUGAGUUAGAUCCGAAAACUUGGGUUAGAGCUGAUCAAAGAGAAUUCCCUAAGUGCGAUGUGCUACUGAAUAACAAUUGUGAGGUCUUCAAUAAGUACAUAUUAGAAGCAAGAGAAAUGCCCUUCUUAAGCAUGGUGCAGACCAUAAAGGGGCAGAUAAUGGCGAGAGUUUAUUCCAAGAAGGAAGAAGCAGGGAAGUGGCAUGGCACCGUAUGUCCAAAAAUUAGGAAAAGACCUCAAAGGCAUGUGGAAGCUGCUAAUACAUGCACGGCUGACCCAGCAGGACUUGGGAUAUUCCAAGUUAAUGACAGAGGUGCAGAUUUUGAAGUGGACAUCAGGUUGAGGACUUGUAGCUGCAAGAGAUGGGAUUUGACUGGAAUACCAUGUUGUCAUGGAGUGGCUGCUUGUAGGCAUGACCAAAUACCUCCAGAAGAAAUGGUGCAGUCAUGCUACUCCAUUCAAACAUAUUUAAAAGCAUAUGAGCAUAUUAUCAUGCCAUGCAAAGAUGUGGCUGAGUGGCAGAGAAUGUAUGGAAGAGAAAUACUUCCUCCACCAAUUCUGAAAAAGAAAGGAAGGAGAAAUAAAAAUAGGAGACAACAACCAGAAGAGAAAGAGGGAAGGGCAGGGCGAAAAAUGGGUAGAGGAGGGGCUGUUAUCCAUUGCAGCUAUUGUGGUGCUGCGGGCCACAAUAUCGGAGGAUGCACUGAUUUUAAGCUUGGUUUGAAACCAAAGAAAAAGGGCAAGGUAGUUAGAGCUGAGCCACCGGUUUCCUCUGAUUCAGAAAAUGAGGAUCCAGUCCUAACUCAGGUAAUGUAUAUAAUAGUAUGUGCCAUUUCUCAUUAGUUAUUUAAUUUCAUGUAUCAUUUCCCACAUAUAUAAUUAAUAGCAACUGUCAUGAUUAAUAUAGGAGCAAAAUAUGCAAACUAUGGGUAUGAGUCAACCAGAACGUACUACAUAUGAAGCAGAGGCCAUUUCUACAUUGAUAGCUGAGGUUUGUUUGUAUGUGCUUUCUAGUGUCAUUUCUGUAAUAUUUAUCUAUACAACAUGCAUUGCUGAAAUGCAAUAUUUAACAUUGCAGACACAAUCAAGCCAGAGACCGAUUGUGCAACCAACUGCUUUACCAGAAAAUGCUUUCAUUCAAGGAAAUGUCCAAAUGCAGCCCCGAGUGCACGAGACAACUGCCACAAUCCAUGGAAAUGUUCAUAGGAAGAGAGAGGUGUUAGCUUUGGCCAAAUUGAAAGCAGGAGCCGAGACAAGGGACGUAGCGGAUCAAGCCAAAUUUGAUGCAGCCAUGGCAAAGCUUAAAGAAGAAGAGAAUAAACUAAUGCUAGCAGCUGAGCAGAGAAAACAAGAGCUGCAAGAAAAGAGGAAAGUUGCUGAAGAGAAAAAAAAAGCAAUGUUGGAGCAGAAAAAAUUAGAAGCUGAGGCAAGAAAAAUAGCUGCUGAAGAAAAAAAGGAAAGCUCAAGAGGAGAAAUUUGCACGUGCAGAGGCAAAAAGGUUAGCUAUGCAAGCAAAAAAAAGAGAAGCAGCAGAGGCAAAGCAAAAGAAGGCAGAAGAAAAAAAAGAAUUCAAGAAGAGAGAGGCAGAAGAAGCAUAUGCAAGGGAGGAAAUGAACUUUAUUUUCAUGCAGCAAGAUGAGCAGGAAAGGCAGCAGAGAUUUAAAGAAUAUCAACACCAAAAGGAGCAAGCAACGAAAAAGGCUUGGGAGGGUCCUGUCGUAACACAGGUUAAUAGGGCUCAAGCUGCUACAGCAAGAGAAGAGGAGGUUAGUAGGGCUCAUUCUUCUACAGCAAGGCAAACCAUUGUGGAGAAAAGAAAGCUAGAUGAUAUGGAAGCAAUGAGGUUAAGAGUUGAUGAGGAGAGGUACAGGGCAUGGCUGCAAAAAGAAGAGCAGAUGGAGCAAGCAAACAGUCAACAAGGCACUUCCAACAAAAGAACUCUUCUCAGUCCGCAAAACACUCAAUUUAAGAUGCCAAGAAAAGUUAGUAUGUUUGAUUAUCUGAGGGAGUAGUUUAGUUCAUGUGAUCUGCCAAUUUCAGUUUAUUUUGGAUUACCAUGUAGUUGAAACUAUGUUUAUUUUGUGAGAUGUGCUCAGGAGACUAUAUUUAUUUUCUAAAAUGUGUUUAUGAUCAUGUUUUGCUCAUGAUCAUGAUGCCCUGGCUGUAAUGACUACUGUCUUUCAGGAAGGAUGCAGUGACAUGUUAUUUGCAAAAGUAUGAUUUUUUUAUUUCCUGAAAUUUCCUGUGAUAUGCUGAAAAAUGCAAAUUUCCCUUGGCAAAUGGUACAACACAUGACCAAAUAAUCCAUGUACUGUUCAUACACAUAUUAUCCAUGUACUGUUCAGUUCACAUAUUGCCCAGUUUCUACGAACAUUACAAGUUAAUGUCUAAAUCCUGUAGAAAGUGAAAAGCAAUGGCCAAAUGGUACAACACAUGUCCAAAUAACCCAUGCACUGUUCAUAUAAAUACUGUCCAUGUUCACAUAUUGCCCUGUUUUUAUUAACAUUGCAACUUCAUGUCUAAAUCAGUGCACAGCGAUGACCAAAUGGUACAUCAGAUGAUCAUAUAAUCCAUGUAAUGUUCAAAUGACAAAGCACAUCACAUGCCCAUAGAUGGCAAAUGGCACCAAUAUGACGAGAUCACAACACAUCAUAUAUCACAUAGAAAUAUUUUGUUCAGAUUACAAAUCUCAUCCAUCUUACACAACAUAGCCCAGAUCACAACUAUGCAAUUACCUAAAGAUUACACAUAGACCAGAUCUUCCAGCUAACACCAUCUCAAACAAGAGUAUAACUAACAACAGCGCCAUUACACAAGCCAAAGUUCUGAACUUCAAAAAAAUUCAGUGAUCUCCAGAGUUGCCGGCGGCACGUAACCAUGCAUUGACCUGCAGCUCCCGCCUACCAGAGGGCGGCUCGAUGGCAAUCAGCUCGCCGUGGAGCUCCUUCAGUACGCCCUUGACGAGUCCGUCUCCCACGCACUGUCGGCACUCGGCAGUACCUAAGCAGCACACGCCCACGGCAGUACUGAGCCGACAGUAGCUUAGCAGCACACCCUCUUUCUCCAGUGCCGCAAGUAGAGCCGACAAUGCCACAUCGACCCUCCGCUCGCCGACGGCAUUAGCUAGCAGCAGGCGCUCGCACUAGCUCACCUCCAGCGCGUCCAUCCCAGGCGUGUAAGCCAGGAGGACACGACAACUCUCCGGGCGGAGACAUGGAUCUCCACGGCGCCACACCUCCUGCGGGAAUGCUCUCCCGUGCACGCCGAUGGUGUAGUCGCCGCCGCGGGCCACGGCUGGGACGGCUCCGCCUCCGCCUGCACAGCAACCGGCGCUCCUGCUCCGGCCGUCGCGGGCCACGACUGGGAUAGCUAAGCCUCCGCCCGCACAGGAUGCAAC
rnacentral:lncRNA from 1 species